rnacentral:lncRNA from 1 species
AUGAGAUCAGCUGGAGAGAAUCAAAAGAGAAGCGAGAAGAAGAAACCCUAAUUGACGAAGAAGAAGAAGAAGAAGAGUAUCGAGAGAGAAAAAAGAGAGAAUCGGGGAAAGAUUUAUCCUAGAAGAAGCGUACCCGUAAUCCGCUUUUAUCGUAAACAACAACCCAAGAAUGUAGACGGUCGCGUUUUAUAUCUAUCUAUCUAUCAUCACACACGGAAUAUUUAUUAAACCCAUUUAAUUUAUUUUAAUGGGCCCUUUUUAUUAAUAUCUGACUUAGCCAACAAGAUUUUGACUUUUCUGGUUACUACUGGCUUAUCCAGUAAGACAAGCAAAACUAACAUCGCUAAGUUAAAGCCAAAAAAAUACAUCAAAUAGGAUUAUGCUUUUCUACAUUACUACUAUUCAAUUGACUAGAUUUACUCGUCCGCGUAUUGCGCGGAAUAUCAAAUUUCAACUGGGUAUAAUACAAAAUGUUAAGAAUAAUCAUAAUCACUUGAAUUUUAAAAACUAUAUAUAUUCAUACUUGUUUUACAAAACAAUCUACAUCAUAGAAAAUUAUAAAAUAUAUUUGGUACGUACCGCAUAAUAACAAAAGUUAUAUAAGAUUAAUCGGUCUCGGUAGUCAUCAAUGAAUUUUUUUUUAUCAAAAAGAGAGUUAUUUCCAUAAACAAAUCUUGUAAAUAUAACUGUCUUUGAUGUUUUGACCUAUUCGUACCUCAUACUAAAAGUAAAUUUGCUGAGUUUGAACAUCAAUUUAUGAAAAUAUAUAAACGUAAUAUUCAUGCCGCUUCAAUAGGUUUGGAGAGCACAAUUUACCUAUUGAAGCAAGACCAUCAUACCUUAAGGAAAGUUUUGACCAAAUCAUGAAUGUCUUAAUCUUAUCUAUCCUACUACGCUUACAUGGCUCGACGAUUUAACCUGAUAUUGAAUAUGAUAGUCUGGUUUACUAAACCAAACUAUCCGAUAAUGCAUACAUAUAUCUGAUGAAUAUCGUUUAGUCAUGUGCAUACAUAUAUCCGAUGCUUCAAGCAUUACUCAAUUUCUCUUCAAAUAUUUUUCGUCAUCUUCUAUGAUGCAUUUGUUCGCUUCCCAACAUCUACUCUUUUUUUAUCUUCUAUGCUCACUUUAAUAAAACUUUAAAUUGAUUCUUAACUGAAAACUAUUUCCUCAUUUUCAUCUUUUUAGUUUAUUUUAUUUUAUUAAUUAUAUGGUUUUCAUGCUUCAACGUAAUAUAAUUUUACGAAAGAUAUAUAUUUGUUAAAAUUUCCUCAACACUACUUAUUUAGAUUUUUACCUAUAUUUAAACAUAUUCACCUUUUUAUUUAGAAAGCAAACAAUAAUAUAGAUAUAACUUUAUUAUUUUUAUUGUUAUAUUUUACUAUAAUUUAAUAUUAAGAUACAAUUAAUUUUUAUAUUUUUUCGUCAAUGUGAAUUUAUACUAUUACUCUCUUGAAAUAUAAUAUUCAAUUUUAAAUAUGAAUUAUUUCUUAUAUCUUAAAAAAACUUUUACAAUCAUACAUUUACUAUAACAUUUAACCAUUUUUGUUUAAUCUAAAAAUAAUAUUAUUUUAAAUAAAUUUCUUCCACUUCAUUAUGAUCUCUUUAAUUUAAUGUUUCCAUGAAAUAUGAAUAUCUUCUUAUUAUUAUUAAAAAAAAAAAACUCUUAUAGCUUUCCAUUUCAAUUCAAUUCUUUUUUCAUCCUAAAUUAUAUUUGAGGUUUCUUUAUUAUUCUUAAAAAUGAUAGUUUUUAAACGUUUUUUAUUUUUAAUAAGUUAUUAUUUGUUUUUAAUUGUAUAAUAAAUUUCAUUAAGAAGCUUUUUGUCCAUCUUAAAUAACAUUGGUAUUUUUCUGAAAUUUUCAUAAUUAUUUUUUUAUUUAUUAAUUAAAUAUUUAGGGAUUAUGUUCAUUUUAAGUUAUAUAUUAACAAAAAAUUAAUUUAAGUGUUUUAUAUGUAAAUAUGUUACACUUGUGUUAUUAUUAUUCAUGUAACCUUUAUUUAAAACUGUGCAUUAAUUGAUGAUUACUUCUUUGAUAAUGAGAUGUAAUUAACUAUGAAAUUAAAUAUUUUGAAAUAAUUAUUAGUAGGAUCCAUAAUAUUAAUUUGGUGAUGAUGUGGACACCCUAAGAGAAGAGAAAACUCUUCCAUUAUAUAUAUAGAUUAGUUUUUCUAUUGUAGGUAUUCAUUUGUCUUUAAAAACCGACCACUUUUUAAUUUCGAAAACAUUAAAAAAAUAGACACAUUUUUUAAUUGUCCUAUUUUAUUAUAUUAGAGUUAUAAAUAAUUAUAUGUACUCAAUCUUUCUUAUUAUUUAAUCAGUAUCAUGAAUUGAUAUUUUAACAUUAACAAAUAUAUUCUCAAAUUUUAAAUGUGAAUUUUUAGAAAUUAAUUACUUUUUAUUUUAAGUAAAAACCUUUAAUUAUGUUUUAUUCUAACUUUUAUUAACUUUAUUCUACUAAAUAACUGUAACUCUUAAAAAUGAUUGUUGUACCAUUCAAAUAUAUUAUAAUAUUUUUUCCUAUAUCUAACAAUUUAAAAGUAUUUUCUCAUUAUAUGUUAAGAUAUAAUUAUCUAAUAUUAUAUUUAUCUCUCUAUUAAAAAUAUUCAUAUUUUGUGUUUUAUAUUCUUUUCCGUUUUUUAAUAUUUAAUUUUUUUGGUAAAUUACUGUUUUUUUAGCAAAAUAUAUUAAUAUGAAGUGCGUUAAUUAAUUUUAGUUAUAAUGUUUUUGUAAGAUAAAUUGUGUGAAUUAAUUUUAGUUUUAUUGUUUUUUUUAAUAAAUAAAAGGGAGACUCACAAAAAUGCCCAUUUUUCAAUACCCCUUUUCAAAAAUGCCCCCUUUGGAUGUCCAUUUUUAAAAAUACCCCUUUUAUUUACAAAAUGACUAAAUUACCCUUCUUUUAUUUUGUAGACCUAAUUUUGUUUCAAAUAAGGGUAAAAUGGUCAUUAAAAAUUAAAAGAGGGCAAACUUAAAAAUGGACUCUCAAAAGGGGCAUUUUUGAAAAGGGGUAUUGAAAAAGGGGCAUUUUUAACAAUUUCUCUAAAUAAAAUAUGUCGAGCCCACAAAAAUAGAAAUAUGUUGACAUGGAUGCUGAUGUGGACACCAUAGAAGGAGAGAAGACUCCCUAAUUAUAUAUAUAGAUUUCCCAAAUUUUGAAGCUUAUUUUAUAACUAGAUAUUUUCUUAUUAAUAUUACUCCCUCCGUUUCGUUUUAGUUGUCGUUUAAAGUUUUUUCACACAAAUUAAAAAAAACAUUAAAUUUUCUGUUUUACCCUUUAUUAAUAUAUUUUAUAAAAAAAAAUCAUUGGCCGAAACAUUAAAACAAUAAGGAUAAAACUGGAAUUUUCACCUAACAUUUACAUCGAAAACCUAAAACGACAACUAUAAUAAAACAAAAUUUUAACUCUAAAACGACAAGUAAACGAAACGGAGGGAGUAACAUUUAAAAACUUUACCAUUUUUAGUUUUAAUAUAAUUUGAGUGUUAGGGAAAUGAAUAAAUUUGUAAGCAAAUGUGUUUUUUUUUUUAUGUCAGAGAGUAGUAGAACUUGGAAUUAUCAAGCAGAAAAGAUCGGCGAUACCAAACAAGUAGGGAUGGCAGAUUUGUGAUACAAGUUCAUUCUCAACAAAAACAUAUGCAAUUAAAGUAAGCUAGUCAUGUAAGAUGGUUCCCCAAUCUGAGAAGAAUUCAUAGGAAAAACGAACGAAGCAAUAAAAAGCAACGGCUUAACGAAACAAGGUCAGUCCAAUUGCCAGCAAAUGUAUACAAAAGGCUACAGUAGAGAUAAGCGCAUAUUCAAACAAGUGACUGAAACAUAUAAUAAUAAACUCUCACGAGCAAAGACUUUUUUUUUUAAUCUGCCAAUACCUCCUCGGAUAGGCCUGCUCUCAGCAAUCCCCCAAAGCUAUGUGCCUACGAAUUAGCUUCCUCAAUCGCCAUAUCUCAAAAUGCAAUUAUCCUCAGCAUCGCAGCUCUUAACUACCUAAUAACGAUAAGAGGCCAAUCUUAGUUUCUCUCACCUGUGAAUCCAUGACCAGUGUUUCUCCCACUAUUACCCCUUUGCUGUUGGUAUCCACCCUGCCUUUGCUGCCCCUGUCCCUUCUCUCUGUAUCUUGGACCUUCUGUCUGAGAACUCUCUUUCGAUUGUUCUCCACUACGUUCUCCAUCAUAAUUAUGUGACCCAACAGGUUUGUAUUCAUAAUGCAUAUUUUGCUUCUGUCUAUCUCUGUUUGAAGGUGGCCUCUGAUGGUGAUGGUGCAGAUUUUCUUGCGCUGGUAAACCCCAACCUCCUUGUGACUCCUGCCCUCUUCCAAACCGUCGACCUUGCCCUGUGUUCUUUUGGAACAUACUAUUCGGAUUUUGCUCAACCUGGACCUCAUUAUUGGAAGAUCGGUUUUGCGACUGGGCUUGCGUAUCAGCAGAUGUCGUUUUCUGUUCUGUAGUAAACCCUUGAUGCUCGUAUCCAGCAACAUCUUUUUUCUGAGAUCCAUAAGGUUUGUCCCUCGUACUUUCACGACCACCAUACUUACCUGUCCUAUUAGCUGUAUGCCACACAUGAUCUCCAGGGACACGACUUUCUUUUGAAGCAGCAGGCAAAUCUGGUUGGUUAAACCCAUGGCCAGAGUGCUGCAUAUGAGCUUUAUUGAAAUCCCUCUUAUUGGCUUUUUUAGGGUCACCAUAGUUGCUUCCUCCAUCCUUGUUGCUUCUGGAAGCAUGCUGCUUGCCGUGCAUGCUCAUUCCUUGAUCUUUUCCAACAGCACUGGAUUCCAUUUCUUCAGCAGCAGAGUAAUGCGUUUCAGGAGUCAUAUACCAGCCAUCGUUCCAUCCAUCCUUAUUACAUGUGGUUUGAUCCUUGGCAGUAAUUUGUUCGGUUUGGUUACUAGAGUGAUAGUUAACUGUUCCUCGAAUGGGCUGAUUUGAGGUUACAUAUUGUCCAUCCUCCAAAGGUUUAGUAUGUGCUCCAGAACCUCUCUGGUGCCAUGAUCCAUGUUCUCUACCAUGCUUUCCCUGCCGACCAUUCCCGUGUCUUGACUUUGAAGGAGACCCAGAGUUUCCUGCAGUUGAACCAGAAGGUUCGAGAACUCCUGUACCCUCACCUCCACGAUUUUCUUUCUUGUUUACAUUCUCCGACAUAUCUGGAGCAGAGUUUCCUAGAUUUUUACUGACGAUUUGCUCAGCCAUUUCUUUUACUAUGGGCUUCGGUACAUAUCUUUCAAUCUCCACUCUUUUGCUUUUAGAACUAGUCUGUCCAUGAUGGUGACUCUUUGAAGAGGUGCCAAACUCAGGGACAGUAGUCUGACUCCCUCCACCUGUGGAAACAUCAGCUUUUUGCUGUGGAUGUACUGGAGCCCAUAUAACAGCAUUGUUGCCAGAAAAUUUCUCGCCAGGCUUAUUUACCAGUGAGUUUCUUUGAGUCCUACGCAAAUGUUGAGAUUUCCAGUUGUUUUUUCCCCUGUUUUGAGACUCUUCAUUAGUGAAGGAACUGAUUUGUUCAGACGAAUCACCAGACACUUUGAUAUCCAGGCUUGGAACUGAAACAGACCCCGACUCCAUUGCAGCUGCCCUUGCCCUACCAGUCUCAAUUGACUCAUCUCCCGAUUUUGUUUCUUUUCCAACGGCAACUCUUGUCGUAUUCAUCGUUGCUGUCUCCUCAGCCUUGUGCUUUUUCUUGCCAUUCCUGUUAUUUUUUCUUUUCGGGAAAGUUGACUCAGCUGAAACGCUUGACGUUGCUUGCAUGUCUGAGUUAUGGCUUGAGACACCUUCAUUAACAACCACAGGAGAUGGAACAACAUCAAACACCUCUGUAGUAGCAACAGAGCUCCCUGUCGUUUUUUUCUCAAAUAUUAUAUUUUGCUGCUUCUGCUUAUAACCCAAGCGCUUUUGUUUUGAGCCACCGCCAUCAUGAUCACGUGGAAGAUUAUCCUGUUGGGUAGGGCCUACGUUAUUUGCAUAUUCUGUUGAAGUCUUCGUAUUUUGCAUUGUGUUUUUUCCUGAUCCUCCAGUAGGUUCUACGGAAUUUGCAACUGCAACAGUGUUCUUCAUCUCAAGAGCGGAUGAAUGAGACCCAGGAUCUUCUGGCAUGUCAGGGGGAGAAGCAUUAUUCUUAACUGAACCCUCCUCAGAUACUUGGGAACGUCUAUUCAACUCUUCUAGUUUUGCGAGAGCCUUAGCUCGCUGAUCUCUUGCUCUUUCUUCCUCCUCUUUUUGCCUCUGUUGAGCACGCUGCCUGGCUAACUCUCUCAUCGUAGAACGCUUUCAGGGAACAUGGCAAACACUCAGUCAAACCAAAAAAGGAUGACUACAAACAAGAGAUACAUAUAAGUAUAAAUAACAUCGAGAAUCAUAUGAACUAGGUUAUACCUGGUUGUCGUUUGGGUCUGCUGAUAUUCCAGACCCAGGCCUCCUGAUGGAAUCGGUAUCCAAAGAGUCAUCCACAUUAACCUCGUGAAAGCUUUCUGUGUUUGUCUUCUGCCAAGCAUCAUUGCCUUCACUGUUCACUAUUCGUUUGGUCUGAGGAUCUGCUCUGCCUUGAGUCUGUUGAGUAGAUCUCCUGUAGGUACUAACAUCAAAACUUUCCCGACAUAAAGGAUGGCAUAACUGGCCGAAACACUAUUGAAAAAUGAUAACUGACCUGAAUAUGGCAGUUCCACCCAUAGCUGCCAGUUCAGCAUUUUUGUUUGUGGCAGAAUCACCUUGAUUAUAGUGUAAGUUCUUACUAUCACUUGCGUGACCAGUUCGAGGAUUUUUUGCUGAAACUUUAUUUACAGAGUUCCCAGAAUUGACUGUACGUGGUUUGCUUUCCUGCUCAUCUCUAUUGACGACAGAUGAAGUAUUUUGCCAACCAUCAUUAGUUCUAGUUUUUGCAUUUAAGCCCUCGAUUUUCUGAAUCAAACUAGGAUCUCCAUGGGCAGCAAGUUCUGCUUUGAUUGGUUGUACUUCACCACUUGCCUCAUUUCGGAUUUCUCUCCUCUCGUUUCUUGAAGUUUGCAUCUGUUGAGCUAUCUUCUCUGCAUUCGGGAGCCUAUUUCCUAGAAAUUCUUCCCGCUUUGCUCUAUCUUCCCCAAACCUCCCAUCUUGGUGCUUUAGGAUAACCUUGUAUGGCCUUUGUGUUUCUUGAGAAUGUGAUGACUCGUUCCGUUCCAAUGACACUGAACUUCCAGGCGUAUCAUAUACACCUUGACCAGAAUGAUUGUUAUAAGCAUGCGGACCAGUAGGCCUACCUGCAAAAGGCAGGUCUCUGUUGCUGGGACUGCCAUACCCCAUGGGAGGACCAUAGUAGCCAUCGUGUGGUGCUGGACCAACAUAAAACCCAGGCCUAGUCUGCAUCCUUGGGUGGACAUAAGAGUCAAGCAUUGGAGGUCUGAACAUUCUUUCAUUAUUGGCGUGAUUACCCCUAGGACCAGCCCCAUGUCCAGGAGAAGGUGGAACUUGCGUAGGAUAAAAUGGAAAAGGAUCCAUGUGAAAACCCCCAGGACCCAUUGGGGCACCAUACGGGUGGUUCCCUCCGUACCAGCCACCACCUUGAUGAUUAUUUACUGGAGGACCACGCCAAGCAUCAUACUGAGGAGGAAAAUUAGCAUUAUGAUAAGACUGUGAACCACGUGAGUCCAAUUGCCCUUCUUCUCUACAAUGUCUAGGUGCAUCUUCACUGUAUGGUUGAUUAUCUCUUCUCCAGGAAUUGGCCUCUCCAAUCCGUUCAUUAGCUUCUGCAAAUAAAAGACAAGAUAUGGUCACAUAUAGUGCCCAAGAGAACAUCCACUAAAAAGAUGUACGGGGAAUAAAGCAGUAAGAAGAAUUCACAUGAACACCUGAGAGGGUAACAUGGCCCUCUCAUAAGAGAUGAUUAUAAACAUAAGUAACUCUCGAAAUGAGAUACCAACAUCUGUUCUAUAUCCCCAAAACAUAGAAAAAGAGGUUUGAAAGUAAGAACCUUCUGUGCAAUCUACACCUUGCCCUUCCACAGAUCUUCCAGACGAAGAUGGAGGACGAGCGUGAGGUCCAGCAUCUGCAAAUUUGCAGUUUCUAAGAGCCAUGUCUAACGUAUUUACUUCAUAUAAGCACAUCACAUUCUAUCUAGGUAAUCCUAAACUCUCAAUAGCACAUAUUAGAAGGUCAUCAAAGAUCGAAAAAGUGGUCAACCAAAAGCAAGCCAAAAAAGUCAUUCCCGAAAGUUUUAACUUUGCUGAAUAUCCGUGUAGAUAAACUUCUCAACAGAAUUACAUUUAGAAGUACCAACUUUCAAAAUGAACCUGUCUGUGCUAACGUCACUCCCUUGAAGGCAAGGAAGACAAGUAUAAAAUAGAAUUGAGUACAGAUUGGACCAAUUUCCAUUUUCCUAGUUUACAUGCUGAUUGUUUUUUUUUUGAAAAGAGCACAGAGAACUAUUCUUAAAUCAAAGUACUGUAAUGCAUGGAUGAGGAUGACACAAUAUAUUUUACUGUUAAUAGAUUGUACCAUGUGGCCUUGUACUCUUUUCAGAAGUUUCCUUUUCAGCCCCAAGGGAAGGAAAAUCUCCAGAAGUCAAAGAAAACCCAUCAUUCUUUGAUGGAGCAACUCCCUGUAGAAAACGAUGAGAAGUCUUGAAGAAUGAAGAUAAAUUUCAUGGUAGAUAAUGCAAAGGUGGGUAUAAAUUGUACACAACUAUUCUACAAAAAAAAUUGAAGAUUGAAGUUUGCCAAAUAAUAAUGCAAACCCUUCCAUCAAAUUCUAUUUGCCCUACCAGAAUUCCAGACUUAUUGGAGAACAUGUGCCACUCAGUUGCCAGAUUAUCUUACGCACUUCAAAGCAUUUCUCUAAGAGAAACAAUAAGUGCCCUAUAAUUUGACAAAUUCAGCAUCCUAAUCUUGUUCCCAUAGCAAACACGAGUUAUGUAUCCAGAUAUUGAAGUUCUAUCCAGAUUGAAUACCAAUCAUUAAUCCCAAAGAGUAAUUACCAUUCACAGUCCCAAAAACAUAAGAACUUGCUGUGUGUUUGUUGUAACUAAUCACAAGUGAAGUAAGAGAAAAGUGACAUGGAGCUUAACAGAUGCAAGGAUAAAAAGAAGAUGCUUAGCAGAGUCAUGAUAAAUAAUAGAGACUAAUUUAAAGGGAAGAACCAUACCAACUUCUCUGCCGCCACAUGUUGACCCCAUGUUGCAGAAGUCUCUGACACGGGUUCAGCAAAUCGGGAUAACUGGGAACUUCCUGGUCUUGUGUCUGCACUAUGUGGACGCUGUAGUGCAACUGAUGCCUGAUUAGAUGGAAACACCCCAGAUGCUGAUGAAGGCCGAGAGUUUGAAUCCCAUGCAACAGAGGAAGAAGAGUCAUGUGCUUUGUUACUAUCAGCAGUUGAAGGUCGAGUGACACUUCCACCAGAAGAAGGUCGAUUACUGAGGUGGCUUGGUGAACCAGGGCCACUUUCAGUUUGUGGUGACAAGGAUGUCCCCCAUGCAUUCAGUGAUGAUUUACUGCCCCAACUAAGGGUCCCCCUAAAAUAGAUGUCCAGAAGAAAAGUAAACCAUCUAAAUUUUGAGGACGAAAAAGAAUGAGGGAAGUAGCAUCUCAAACAGGUACAAACUUACUUUGGAACAAUUUCUACAUUUGGGUCAAGGCCUUGGUUUUCUAACCUUAAAUUCAGAAGAGGAGUGUUCAGGGAACGAGAUUACAUAUAUAUAUAUUAAGUCUAAAUGUGAUCAUGCACUCAUCAAAUACCUUUGGCUUGGUAAGUUAAUAGGUUUUGGAACAGCAACCUUUCCCAAUAUAGUCAUGCCACUUCUUCUUGUAGUACCCCAUCUGCUAAUAUCCAGCAAAUGUAAUUUCUCAUCACCACCAGAGGAUACAAAGCUCUUUAAGUGUAAAUGAGAAAAGUAUAAAUGAUUAUACAAUAAUAAAAUUAUUAUAAAAAAAACGAUUAGCCAUACACAUUAUAAAACUUUUCUCUUCUCUUAAUCUAAAUGUUGAUGUUGCAAAUCAAUAAUAAUGUUGAAUAAAAUUAGUGCAAGUAAUAUGAAAUAAAAAGUCUUAAACUCUCCCUCCAUACAUGGUGAAUGUCUAUCAUGCAAGCAAGCUCUUUCAAAGAAAGAAAAGCCAAACACUGAGUUUCCUUCUAUACCCCAGGCACAUAUAUUUUAACAGCAGUUGGAAUAUACAGCACACUUUAAACCAGUAAUAUUCAUAUUAAGAAAAGGCCGCAUCAAAAGAAAACUCAUGCAAGCAUCGUGAAAAGAGGCGAAUAUAUAACCGAUAACCCAGUAUAAAAACAUAGAAAAGUUCAUGAUAAAGAUAAACAUGAAAGAAGAGAAACCUUCGAUCUCCUGCCGUGCUAGAGGUCAUUAUAAAGCAGCUACAAGAUCCAAUUACACCCCUUGAAAGCUGUAAGGCACAUAGAGAAACAGAUUCACAAAUGAAAUUUGAAGCUCAAAUCCCUAAGAAUCAAACAAGACCAACACUGAAGAACUAUUGCUAUAACACUGCUACCGUGAAAUGCGUUGCAGAAUCAGACUGCCUAUACAAGUUCUCCAACAUGAAUUGAAAAUCUACUUGAAGAAUCCGGAGCGAUCAAUUCAAAACCUCAAUACUUUCGAAAAUUCACCAUCAUAACAGAAAGGCAAUGUUCGAAAAUCAAAUUGCUACAGAAACCUAAAAGUACCAAAGAUAGUCAAACUGCGAAUCAAAAAUCGUUCCAGGCUAAAUGACCGCAUUACUAAAAAAAAAAAAAGCAAUUUACGAAUUCUCAGAAUGUUGAAAAACUUCACCAGCAUUCCGUCAAUCAACAAGCUUUAGAAAAAGGAGAGCUUUAAAACAUACAAAUGUAUCCAGCAAUGUCAAUCAAGCUCUACAAAAGGACCCAAAUUACUUCACGAGGCUUCUGAGUCGGUAAUUCUAUAAACGCAUCACUCGAUUCCUCUGGAAUACAAAGGAAAAAAAAAAAAGAGCAGAGAAGAAACUGACCAAAGGGGGAUUAUAGAGAAAAUCUGCUUUUUUGAAUAGAGGGGGUCCUCGGAAACCCUAGAUAUUAAUUGUGAGAGAGAAUCGAAGAAGAGGAUGCAGAUCGGAUGUGUUCCUGGGCGAUGAUGGAAAAGGAAGAUGAAGGAGAAAAGGAAGGAUCUGUGAGAGAAAGAAGAAAGUGAUGAUGAUGAAGAUGAAGAUGAAGCUUACGACGACGUUCAACGGAUUGGUUGAAAGGCGAGAAAGAAAGCGUCGAAGUUCAGGGCUGCACGGUUUUACUCAGCUUUUUUCCUCUCUCUCUAUUUUCUUUUUUUGUUUAAUUUAUUUAUUUUCUUCUUCUUGUAAAUUGUAAAAUGAAUGCUGAUUAGAAUAAAAUUAAAAUAGAGCGAAUAAAGGGAUCACCUAUCUCAAAAAAAGACUAGUACUAUUCAUUAACAUCAUUUAUAUAUUUACCUACCCAUUACAAAAUAUUUUCCUAUAUUCUACAUUUUACUAAUUUUAAAGAUGUUUUAAUUUAUUUAUAUUGUAUCGUAAUUUUUAAAUAAUAAUCCUUUUUAACAAAACAAGUACGUUAAAAAUGGGGAGAAAUUGAAUUAUGUGGUAGGUUCAUUUUUAAGGACUUGUUUAGGGAAGGAGCAGGCAUGAUCCAAUGGAUAAGGUUUUUGGGUAACGCUUAUGUUUUAUCUUCCAAACUUCUCAUGUUUUUCGGUGGAAUACACUCGUUCUAAAGAAAGAUCAUACAUGAAUCCGAUAUUUCGUAAUCGAUUGUGCUGCUGGAGAAUGAUCUUGAGCUGAUUUGAACUCAACGCUAGCUAAAGUUUUUCCAUACGUUAACCGCGUAUAAUAAUUAAACUUGAAUCCUCUAUCGUAAAAAUGCUUUUAGAUGCUUUCAAAAUGAGGUAUAUAGUUUAAUCUUUUCUUACUUUUGUAGUUGCUAAGUCAGCUUUACUCCAAAUCGAACUUGAUAUUUAUAGAGAGAGAGAGCCAUCGAACCUAAGAAAGUUAGAGAAUGAGACACUUGAAUUGCUUGAAUGCUUGCAAAUAAUGAUCUCACCCCUUAUAUACAAACUUUACCUUUAACAAGAUGGUAAUACUACUCAAUAAACAAUUGAAAAGUGUAUGUAAAGAAAAAUCUGGCUGCAACUGGUUGACACAAAAUACCAAGUUGAAAGAUUUGAAUGAACAUUCAACUAAUUUUUUACCAUCUGAGAUAAAAAAAAGUUUAAAAAAAAAAAGAUUCAGCCCAUUCAACUUAAAAACUUCAAAAAUUGAACAAAUUCUACAGCAAAAAUGUUCAACUCAUUCAAUUACAAUUUUGUAGAUGAAUGGAUUGAAUUAUUUUCAACCCAAUAUUUUCCAACUUAAUAUAUUCAACUCAUUCAAUUUAAAACAACCAUUUGUAUAGGGGUGUCAAAAUGGGUAACCCGACCCGACCCGACCCAAACCCAUAUGGGUUCGAGUGUUUAAUGGACGGGUUUGACCCGACCCAUAUAUUUAUAUGGGUUGAAUUUACAUACUCAAACCCAUUAUUGUAAAAACCCAUUGGCUUAAUGGGUUAUAUGGGUAUCAUAUAUAUGUAUAAUAAAAUAUAUAAAUAAUAAAAAUCCAAAAAAAUAACAUAAAAUUGUAAACCAACAAAAGUUUUUAAAUAAUAAAUUAAAAAAAUCUAGAUAUUAAAAUAAAAAAGCAUCCUAAAAUCUUAAAACCACAAAUCCAAAGAACCAUAAAACCAAAUAAAAAAAGAAAAAAUAGUCUUAAUUUAAAGAACAUUUGAAUAUUAUACAUAUAUUUUACUUUUUACUUUUAUUUUUAGGUAAAAUGUAAACUUUAAUAGUUAUUUUAGAUAUUUUACAUAUAUAGUUGUAAAGAAAAGAAGAUAUUUUACAUAUAUUUAUAUAUAUUUUACAUAAUAUAUUAAUAUAGAUAUAUAUAAAUUUUACUUUUUAGUUUUGGUUAUGAAACCCAUGGGUAACCCAUGACCCUAAUGGAUUUUACCCAUUAAACCCAUAACUCUAAUAGGGUAACCCACUAAAACCCAUUUAUAUAUAUGGGUAAAAAAAUUCUACCCAAACCCACUAAAAUCAUGGGCGGAUUCGGGUAACCCAUGGGUAUUAACCCAUUUUGACACCCCUACAUUUGUAGCCCUUGAAUAAUUUUCCUAAAACAAAAUUGAAGACUGACCAGUGAUCCUUUGAUUAACCCUUAGACAAUCUGGGCUGUGCUAAUAUGUAGAUUUUGGCCCAUGGAUCAUUUAUCUAUUUUCCCCUUCCAUUGAUUAAUCAUUAUUUUCUCUUUACUUUCACAAUCAACACCCCAAAAAUAUGUUAUUAUUCACCCUUUGUUCAAAAAAAAAAAAAUAACAAUUUAGUAAUUUACCCUAAAUCGUUUUGUCAAAAUGUGUAAAUCACACUAAACAUGUCUAGGGCAAAAUAUUUACAUAUUCAAUAAGCCUUAGCUAAUCUAAUUAGAUGUGAAAACAGAGAAGUGACGUAUAUCUAGAAAACAGAGAUCCUGUUCUAGUAAAGCAUAAAGCAUUCACCAGUCUCUUGUACUAGUAAACAGAGAUCCUGAAUAAAUUCAGUGUCUCGCUCGGUUCAUGUACUGUCGUUUCCAAGGUCUGCCAUUGACAAACCAAAAAGCUGAAACUCUUCACGCCAAAGCCAAAAACAUUAACUUUUUCCCAACGGGAAAUAUCUUUUAUCGUGGAGAGAAACAAACAGAGAGCUUCGACCUAAUUACACAUUCUUCUUUUUCAGCUUACAUAUAAAAAGCCUUCUAGCGAUCCUUUCACUGUGGCCAAUUUGUUCUGUGACCUUUUGAUCCUCUGUCUGCAAUUCUACAGGUACUUUGUCUCUGGCUUUAAUAUUUUGAUAGCUAGUCUCAGUUUAGAAUUUGUCUGCGAGGAUAAAGAUUUUAAAAUUUUUAAGUACAUGACUUAGGUUCAUAAUUCAAUUUAAACACAUGUUACAUACCUUUAUCUCUUGAGAUUCUUCAAGGGCCCUUAUUUUAAUCUCUUUCAAAAAUCAUAACUUCGAAUUUAGCAGCCAAAAAAGGUUCAGUCUCGUUGGACACCACUUGUUUCCUUUUAAAAGAGGUCUUUUUCCAGCUAUCCCACUCUGCUCUUCUUCUCUAAGCAUUUGCAUUCUUGUUUCUUGGUUUUGCGUUUUAGCUUGGAGAGAAAAUGGGACAGAUUCCGAGGGUUCUGUCUUGGAGGAAUAUGUUGGUCCUCUCAUUGGCCAUCAACUUCAGCUUGAUUCUAAAGAUUUUGAAGGGUGACAGAGAACGAGGAGAUUCAUGGGACAGAAAGGCGUAUGUUAGCGUAUGGCCCGUGGUAUCGACCACGGCUUCAGGUUCCUCGUCGUUGUCUUCAGCAUCUUGCAACUAUAGCAAGAUCGAAGAAGACGAUGAUAGAAUUAUCAACCUCAAAUUGUAAGUUUCUACUUACUCUUCCAUGUUCUAGAUUACAAUUUUUGCUGAAGAAAUUAAGUUAUGUUCUUGUCACUAUGGUGGAUUUUUUUUUCCCCUGAUUGCUUGUUUAUACUUUCGUGGUGUUUUCAGAAUAAUAAAUGUGUAUUAAUGGCGUAUCCUAUAGAAUCUGUAGACAAAUUUCUCCCUUAUCCCAUACUUGAUUGCUUUGAAAGUCACUGAUUAUAUAACAAGGAAUCUAAGAUUAUCCUUUAAGCAAGCAAGUGAAGCUCCAAGCUUUAAUGCCAUAAUCACCAUUUGAUUUCCUGAUGGUCUUCCAUUGACUUGCCUAUAUUUUCUAACAAUUUACUAUAGUUCUGCGUAUGCUUGUGUUCCUUAACGUACGCCGCUAGUUUGAAUAUUUGGUUCUGUUAUUUACUCUGUUAUGACUCGUCAAACACAAAAAAAAAAAAAAAACUUUGCGUAUUGAUCAUGGUGGUCCAUUUGUUUUCUUUUAAGGGAAUUUGUAUAUAUUGAUCAUAAAUGUCAACUGUUAAAAGGAUUAAAAAUUAAAUUGGAAAUGGGCCAUUCUACUUGUUAAUGAAAGUAAAGAAGAGAUUGACUUUUUUUUUUUUUUUUUUUAAAUAAGGAUUUGGUAUGUGGAAUGUUGUGAGAGGAAAGGAGGUUAGUUAGUGAUGUUCCUUUUUGGAUGCUCGCAAUUAAUCUAGUUAGUGAUAGGCUGAUAGCCAAUGGAUUAAAUUUUAGGUUGAGGAGACAUUUGGUACAUUUGAAUAUCAAACCCUUUUGAUUCUUUCGAAUUCCAUUGUCAAAGAAAAACUUAUAAAUAGGAAAAAGAGAAAAGUAAAGAGAGCCCACAUUUAGGUGGACAUGAUUCUCAAUACAUUAAUAUUUUCAUGUCCUUUGAGGGAAUCUAAAGGACUAGUUUGGUGAUCUAGUACUUGCCCAUGUUUUUCAAUGUUUCAGAAAUAAGAAGGUGAUGUUUUAUAUAUGUUCUCCAUUAAAGAAAAAGACCCACAAUUUUUUACCUCUAUGCUCAGCUCUCGUUGACUCAAAGAUUAAUUCUUGUCACACUGUAGAUAAUACAUAAUGUAUGCUAACUUUGAUGUGGUUAUACGCAGUGGCGAUCCAACGGUGUAUGAGAGAUAUUGGCAGGAAAAUGGAGAGGUUACAACAAUGGUGAUACCUGGAUGGCAAUCUCUUAGCUAUUUUUCAGAUGAAAACAACCUUUGCUGGUUUCUUGAGCCAGAGCUUGGCAAAGAGAUUGUGAGGGUGCAUAAGGUUGUUGGAAAUGCUGCAACCCAAGACCGCUUCAUCGUUGUUGGCACUGGCUCAACACAGUUGUAUCAGGCUGCCCUCUAUGCUCUCUCCCCACAUGAUGACUCUGGUCCUAUUAAUGUCGUCUCGACUGCACCUUAUUAUAGUGUGAGUCAUAGUUAUAGCUAUCUCAAACUAUUUGUAUGUCUUGUUAGACACGCAAUUUUGCUGGAUACUAGGUUUCUUGAGUUAUUUUAGCACAUAUAUGUGUCAAUCUAACAUGUAUAACCGGUUUGGUUGUAGUCAUACCCCUUGAUUACAGACUGCCUCAAAUCGGGGUUAUAUCGAUGGGGCGGAGAUGCAAAGACAUACAAAGAAGAUGGUCCAUACAUUGAACUUGUUACAUCUCCAAACAACCCUGAUGGGUUCUUGAGAGAAUCAGUAGUGAACAGUAGUAAAGGUAUAUUGAUCCAUGAUUUAGCUUACUACUGGCCACAGUAUACACCGAUAACAUCAGCAGCUGAUCACGAUGUCAUGCUCUUCACUGCUUCAAAGAGCACCGGCCAUGCCGGGAUGCGCAUUGGGUAAGUACAUUCUUGUUACAUCUUGCUUUUGUGGGAGCAAAACAGAGAACAAGUCUCUUAACGGUUACACUCUUGUUCAUUUUGCAGAUGGGCUUUGGUGAAAGACAGAGAGACGGCUAGGAAAAUGAUAAAAUACAUUGAACUCAACACGAUUGGGGUUUCAAAGGACUCGCAACUUAGAGUAGCCAAGGUUCUAAAGGUUGUGUCAGACAGUUGUGGGAAUGAAACGGCCAAAUCCUUCUUUGACCACAGUUAUGAUGCUAUGUAUGAGAGGUGGAAGCUAUUGAAACAAGCGGCGAAGGAUACUAAACGUUUCAGCGUUCCUGAUUUUGCCUCUCAACGCUGCAAUUUCUUUGGCAGGGUCUUUGAGCCACAACCAGGUAUGUAUAUAGAAAAACAAAGUAUAAAUGAUCAUAAAACCACUUCUUCUUUAAUUUUUUCUUCAUAUGGUUUGGUGUAUUUUGUGCAGCUUUUGCAUGGUUUAAGUGUGGAGAAGAGAUUGUGGAUUGUGAGAAGUUUCUUAGAGAGGAGAAGAAGAUUCUAACUAAAAGUGGAAAGCACUUUGGAGAUGAGCUAAGUUAUGUGAGGAUAAGCAUGUUGGAUAGAGAUACUAACUUUAAUAUUUUCCUUCACAGGAUUUCAUCUUCCUCUAAUUCAACUUUGUAAGUGCAUGUGCAUGUGAUUAAUUAUGAUCAAUUGUCAUAACUAAUAUUGCAACAAGUGUUUUCUCCAUAUAUAUUAUCGGAAAUUUGAAUAAGAAGAUCAAUCAAAAGACCAAUUCAUCUAACCAUCUCGGAUAAAUGAACGAACAUUCAUUCACUACCGAGCGUUUGUUCAAGUGUCGUCGGCAUGUUGGUCUGGAAAAUUUUAAUUGUUAUCUCUUGAAGAAUCACUAGAAUCAGUUCCAACAUUUCAUAGCUUUUUCCAAUGUUCAACUCCAACCAUCCUUCAGAGUCAUAUCAACAAUAUAUGCUACGGAGAGAUCAUUGUAUCGCUACCUUCCAUUUUACAUUUGUGUCAGCUUUAUUCAGUACUGCACCGUUUUCUAACCGCGUCUGACAUUUUUCUCUGUAUAAUUCAAAAGGAUAUAAAAUCAUUUAUAUUUCAUAACAAAAAUGUUUUAAAAAGUUGGACAAACCAAAAAAAAUUCCAAAACACCAACUAACUCUCGAUAAUACCAAAUUGUGAAAAUUCUCAAAAUAUAAUCUCUUGUCACUCAUUCAUAUUCUAAAAGUUCUACUUUCAUGGUUGUAAUGUGAAAAAAAAAACUUGUAGAAACCAAAUGUAUCCACAAUAUCCAUAUGGAUGAGGACAAUGGUGGAGGUGAGACACAACCACAGAAAUUAAACCAUUCACGUGAUGUAUCUGCAAAAUUCAUCAUCAACUUUCUCCUGACUACGCCACAUCAUAUUUGUUUGUGGAACUAUUCCAUCGUCAAACGGCCGUUCGUCUUUUGUCUUUUUCCACAAAUCUACUAGCUCCCUUCUUUAUCAACUUGAUCGUCUACAUAACUAUACUUGUCUUUUUCCCUAUUCACAAAUUAGUCUUUUUCUUGAGAAAAGUAAUUACUAUUAUUUUGAUGCCAACUUGAUCCGAAUCUGAGUUUGAGUUCCAAUUAUAGCCAUUCUUGAAUCUUGAUAGCAUUUUGUAUUUGUUUCCAAACCUAUUCAUCCUUAGUCAAAUCACCAUGUUCGUUGUUUUGUUUGAUGCAUAGCUCAUAAACCAAGAUAUGUGUUUCAAACCUUCACCAUAAACAAGAAGCCCAACAACUUAUAUAAAUUGUUUUUUAAUUUUGUACUAACUAGUGAUAGAGACACUAAAAGAGAGAUAACAUGAUUAAGAGUUGGAAUUAAUGAUAAGCUGUAAAUAUAUCUCACAUAAAACGUGUUUGAAUUCCAUUUUAAGGAUAAAUGAUUUUUCAGAUCUUGAAUAAAUUUGUUGCAACUUGCAUCAUGAUUUCUUUAAAACCAAAAAACAGGACUAGACCGGUGGUUGGUCCGCAGAUUUUUUGCUCGCAAGAUUAUUCCUACAUGUAACACUGCAACAUAUAGAGCAGUAAAUUGUAAAUUAUACAAAAUCCAAAAAUAUAGUUACAUUAUAUUUCAAAUCACACGAAUUGUUAGAACGGUUAGAUGUCAUGCCGUAUACUUCAAUUAGAUGUACAAACUUUAUUGAUUGAGCAAGUUUUAAAUUUCAAAUAACUCUUAUAUAUAUACUACUAUUAAUUAAGAAACAAUAUUUGGCUCUCUGUUAUAUCAAAAUAAGUAAAAUCAUCAAGAAUUACAAAGUGUACAGCAUGGAGGAUGAAUUUAGGGCUAAAUAAUGGUCAGGCUCAAUAUUUUGAGCAUUAAAUUUUGAAAUGGAAAAGGCUUUUCUAGUUAUAGCCGGACUGAAUUACUAUAUGAGUCAUGGAUUUACCGAUCCGAGGGUGAUGAACAACUAUUGGUUUAGAGAAUGGUCGAUUUCAUGUUCAGAUUUAAAUUUUGUGAGUACGGAUUUAUAUAUUUACUGUCAAUAUUGUCAAAGAGCCGAUUUAAAAAAUUUGUUUGAUAAUGUACACAAACAAAAAGAUCAAAAGUAAAGCCGGAUUUAUAUACAUGACACGUAUUUCUACGUCCCAUGCUCUUGCCGUUUUGCUGUGAUCAGUAAGUUCCCAAAGUCACUUUUGCUUUAAUAACCACAGUUCCACUUUGAUCCUUUUUUGACAGUACUAAAGCCAGACGUACCUUGAACAAAACCCUAAGCGCCUUUUUAAUGUCAUUAAUCAAUCUCAAACCACCAUUUAAUUAAUACUUUGUUUAUUAUUGUUAAUUCUAUAAACUGUACUUUUCAUCAAACUCUAAAAAGGUUAUGGCUUAUGGGUCUUCUUUUGGAUGAAACUAUCUAUAUAUAUAUGAAAAUUAUUCUAAAAAAAAAAACACGUAAAAAAGUUGGGGCUCCCUUUUAUUAAGCGGCAGGCUUGGGAAUUGUUGACCACACUCUCAUCAUCUAUAUUCUAUCUCUUUCUUAUCUUCACUGUUUUAUCUUUUCAUUCGGAUUAAAUUAAAAAUAUAUUUUUUCUCCAUAAUUUCUACUCUUAACUCUCAUGAAUUAUUGGUCUCUCUAUAAUAGUAUUCUAAGUAACAAUCUAAUUGUACGGAUGUCUCUUGAGAUGUUGAAGAAUUAAGAAUUAAGAAAGAGGGAGAAUGAAUUUUGAGGAUCAAGAAGAAGAUAUGGAGAUGUCAGGUGUUAAUCCCCCCGGCGGUUACGACUCUCUGAGCGGCGAGGGAGCCACGUCUAGCGGCGGCGGUGGAGGAGGAGGAAGGAAUAAAGGAGUUGGAGGGAAGUUGAGGUAUAGAGAGUGCUUAAAGAAUCAUGCUGUUAACAUCGGCGGCCACGCCGUGGACGGUUGCUGUGAGUUCAUGCCUUCCGGUGAAGAUGGUACGCUCGACGCUCUCAAGUGUGCAGCUUGUGGCUGCCACCGGAACUUCCACCGCAAGGAAACCGAAAGCAUCGGCGGUAGAGCCCACAGAGUUCCCACGUACUACAACCGCCCGCCGCAGCCGCAUCAGCCGCCUGGAUAUCUUCAUCUAACAUCUCCCACGGCCACAGGGCAGCCUAUAAGGCUGCCCGUGGCGUCCGCGGACGAGGAGAAUACAUCAAAUCCGAGCAGCAGCGGCGGGACCACCGCAAAGAGGUUUAGAACAAAAUUCACGGCGGAGCAGAAGGAGAAGAUGUUAGCCUUUGCGGAGAGAUUGGGGUGGAGAAUUCAGAAGCAUGAUGACGUUGCGGUUGAGCAGUUCUGUGCGGAGACUGGUGUUAGGAGACAAGUGCUUAAAAUCUGGAUGCAUAACAACAAGAAUUCUCUUGGUAAGAAACCCUAAUUUUACUCAAGAUAUGAUUUAAAACACUAGAGGAUCAUAAUUGGCAAGAAAUUUCUUUUUUGGUAUGACUCUUCUGUAACUACUUCUGCUUAUCAGUUGUGUUCUUUUCUCCUGGACAUAGUUUCUUCUUUUAGUUCAUAAUCGUAUCUAGUGGUUUGGGACAGUUUAGGACACAUUGUGGUUAAUCUUCAUUAACUUUGGUUCGAUUAUAGUGGUUAAUUAAUUCAUAAAUUUACUGAUGAUGCAAUUGAAUGAUGCAUGGACCAAACUAUGCAAAUUUAAAGUACGGUGAUUAUAGAAUUGUAGACCAAUGAGUUUCACCCUCAGCUGUCGUAGCUGUUUGUGUCUUUGUAAACACAGACCAAAUUUGGUAAACAGUAGAAAACAUAGAUCUUUACUAAUUUUCUAUAUUAGUAUUGCCAUAUUCCUAUGUCAAUUAUAUGAUAAUUAGGGGCCGUUGAUCAAGAUUUGCAGCCUUGUAAUUUGUGAUAUAGAUAUAGUGUGGUUGUUGUGUUCGAACUGGAUUUAAACCUGUAUGUAUGUUACGUAUUGUUGACAAAAAAAAAAAUAAUAAGGAGAGAUCAGCUAUAAAAUGAAUUGAAUUUAAGAUUAUCUGUAGAACUGAAGAAAGAAGUUCAAAAAUAAUAAGAAAUAAGGUCUGGGCCGGUGAGAAUGUGCGGCAAUGAGAAGCCAUGGACGAUUUUACUCUUUGGUGCCUAAGCAUAACGUGCCAUUGCGGGAAAUCACACUCAUAAUUAACAAAAAGAAAAACGUGUUGUUUAACGAAUUACGAAUAGUAUGUUAUUUAAACGUGUAAACAUUUAUGUUAAUUAUGCUCAUAUAUCUAUAAAUAGUAUGUUAAAAUGCGACGAACUGACGGAAAAAAAAAAACACACACACACACACACAAUAUAAUUAUCUAUACUAGUAUAAUCGCAUCACUUUUUGUGACGGGUGGGUAAAAAAGCUUUCGGGUAUAUCGGAUAUCCGACCCAUUUUAAAAAUUCCUUUACAAAAAAUUUGUUGGGUCGGGUUAUAUUUAACCCAACUCAUACACCGGAUAUUCCAUAUUUAAUAAUUUAGAUUUUUAGAAGAUUUGAUUAAGAUUUAUAAUUAUGAUUCUCCUAUCAUCUUUGUUUGAUUUGUUUUUAACUGUUUUGAAUCGUCAUAUAAUACAUAAAGUAAAAAAAAAAUCAAUUUUUUUUCUGCAUAUACUGUGAUUCGAAAUUUAAAAAACGGACAUAUAUUAUCCAAUUCUACAUCGAUUAAAAUAUUUAGACAAUGAUUCAGAAUCAUAUCAUAAAUAAGAACAUUAAUAAAAUAAAUGAGUUUUUUGGCGGGAUGGGUUUGGCGGGACGGGUUUGGCGGGACGGGUUUUUGAAUCAACAAUAAUAAAAAGAUUAAAAUAUCAUUAAUCCGCCGCUUCAAUACGGAUUUAAUCCUUAUUUUUUUUAAUAAAAAUCACAUGACGGGUUAAGAAAUUACGGAACGGGUUAUAUUUCGGAAAUGAUUUAUAUGGCGGACGAAUUUGAAUCAAUAUUUAUAUACCGCUUUAAUACGGGUUAAAUCUUCAGUUUAUUAAUAAUUAUCUCGUGGACUCGUGGUAUACCGUUACUUAAUAACAAUUGUAAACUAUAAUAUAAAUAAAUAUGUUAUAAGGAAGGGAGACUCACAAAAAUGCCCCUUUUUCAAUACUCCUUUUCAAAAAUGCCCCCUUUGGCUGUCCAUUUUUAAAAAUACCCCUUUUUAUGUACAAAAUGACUAAAUUACCCUUCUUUUAAUAAAAGAUAUUACAAAUAUAUAAGGAAAUAUAACAAAAUUAGGUUCACAAAAUACAAAAUAUUUUUAGCGGGAAAAGUGAUCCCACAAUUUUUCCUGCCAAAAACACUUGUAAAAACUUGUAAAAAUAUCCUUGGUGUAAUAUUUCCCGUUAAAGGUUGUUUCACGCGCAUUAAAGUUUUCCCGCCCGAGUAAGUUGUGUAAGCAUGGAAUAGGAAUAGCGAGAAGUUAGUAUGGCUGUAAAUGGUGGGCUGGAAGGUUUUUUGCGGGAGAAAUUGACAAGGUAUUGUAAAGGUUUGUUACAAGGUAUUGAGAAGGGUGUACAAUGUAUUUUAAAAGGUUUGUACAACGUAUUGAUGAGUAUUUAUAAGAUAUUAUAAGAUUUUACAAGCUAUUUGAUAAGGUUUUAUAAGUUAUAAGAUUUUACAAGUUUUGUAUAAGGUUUUAGAAGUUGGUAGAAAUGAUUUUUAAAACUUUCAAGUACCUUGUAAAACCUUUUAAGAUACAUUGUAAAACUUUACAAAACACUUGUACAUACUCUGUAAAAACCUUUAAAAUACCUUGUAAAUUUUUCCCGCCAAAAAUUUUCCCGCCAAAAAAAUUGCGGAUAACUUUUCCCGCAAAAAAAAAUUUUUGGCGAGAAAAUUUUUUGGCGGGAAAAAUUUUUACGAAAAAAUUUUACAAGGUAUUUUAAAGGUUUUUACAAGUGUUUUGGCGGGAAAAUUGGGGGAUCACUUUUCCCGCCAAAAAAUAUUUUGUAUUUUGUGGACCUAAUUUUGUUUCAAAUAAGGGUAAAAUGGUCAUUAAAAAUUAAAAGAGGGCAAACUUAAAAAUGGACUCUCAAAGGGAGCAUUUUUGAAAAGGGGUAUUGAAAAAGGGGCAUUUUUAACAAUUUCUCUAUAAAGAAAUACAAUUUACAAAAUAUUUUUAUACUAACUUUAAAAUUAAAUUAUCCCGCGGUGUACCGCGGGUUAAAAUCUAGUAACUAAUUAAUACGCUAACAAAACAAAACGCAGUUAAUGAGAAUUUUUGUCCGUCGUAGACAUAAAAUCCAGUUUUUGCAAGGGUCUCAUUUGACCCAUUUAGCUCAUUUAACUUAUUUUGAUUUUGUUCAAAAACACUUUGAAACGUAAAAUCAGGAAUUUUAUUUAUUUAUUAAAGGUACUUCAUCUCAUGUGAACAGAAGUAAAACCUUUUGAACCAAGUCAAGUAAAUUGAAAGGCUUGAAAUUAAAUAAUUAAACCAAAGAUUUCCGAUGGAGAUGAUAGAUUUCCAUCUUGAUGAAGAAAAUGACGAAUUCACAUUUGUCACAUUCCUCUCGCUAUCUUACCAAGACUCACCGCUUAAUUAUCACAUUAAACUCUCUCCUCUCUUUUUCUUCUUAUAUAUGCUUUGCUUUUGUCUUGAGAGCUUGCUUCGAAACUUCUCAGUUCUCACUCUUUUGUCCCUUUCACAGCACGACACAAACCCAAUUCAAUUAACCUUCAUUUAAUUGCCGUAACGGUUUUAUGUAAACUUAUCAAGUUACUCUUUUCCUCCUCAAUCUCGUAGAAAACAAUUUAUUAGAGUAAUCAAAUAGUAUUGGUUAAUAUUGACUUAGUCAUUGUAAAAUCAAUUGUGUAUCGGUUAUAUAAGAACUUCUCAUGUCAUCUCAUGUAACAACUAACAAGAUUGGAUUAACAAGAAUAACACAAAUUCACGACUUCUUCUUCGUUUAUCACUCAAACAGCAAACAAUCAAUUAAUGUAGAAAACAUGGUGAAAAAAAUACUACCACAAGUUUGUUGAGUUAUAUAUAUAUAUAUAUCAAUCUGAAAGAACAUAAUUUCUGCAUAGUCCUCUUUCUUUACUUUUUUUUUAGUCUUCUUGCUUUACUAUAAAUUGAUUUUCACAACUUGUUUCAAUCGCCAGCGUCACCCAAAAAUAUUAAUAAUAAAAUCCUUAAUUGCAUAAUAUUAUUUGCUCAAAUCCUUAAUUACCUUCAUUUUCUGCUGACACAUAAGCCACGUGUGUGUGUUGGAGUUAUUGGGCCGAAUAUUGAUGGGCUUAACAGAAAGAGUUACGACCCAACACCUCACUUUAUCCCUUAUAUCGACAAACUUCCAUGCAUUUUCCUCCUCUCGUCGAUAAACCAAGAAAUCAAAUCAAACUUUUCUAAUCCUUUGUUGUGAAUUUUUUCUCCAAGGAAUGUUAAUUCGUAUCGAUUCGAUUGCCAAACCCUAGAUUCUUUCGCUCUAGGAUUUGAGAAUGAAUGAAAAUCUAUUGUUGGUGUUUAGGUUGCGGAAUCAUAGAUAUUGAAAAUCGUAAAUGUGACAGUCGAUAUUUUCUAUUAAUCAAGCUCGAAUUCUAAUUUUGCUGAUUAAACCCUAGUUAAUUUUUUUCUACGGUUCGAGAAAUGGAAAUUUAUUGUGGUUGCAAAACCUAGAAGUUGAUAAUCGCACCGUCUACAAACCCUAAUUUUGAGGAAUCGGCCUUGUCUAAGUUAUUUUUGUGUUCAUGAUUUGAUCAAAGCAGUAGAUAUUGACAGUAGAUAUUGGGAUUCCGGUGGUUGAUCUCAAAGACGCUUAAGGCUUACCCGAAUGUCAUGGAGGAGGAUUUGCAGGUAUGCAUUGUUAUAAAUUAGCGAGGCACAAAGAUGACAGUUUUGGAAAUAUAACUCCAUAUACAUAUAUGUAGCAAAUCUGAGAUCAAUGGUGACAUGAGAGAUGAAUUUCUAAGCAUUGGUCACCUUGAAUCCCCUCGGUUUUUAAAUAACUUAUUUCUACGUUGAGUAUGACGGAAAACAAAACCGGUUCCAAUCUUAAAUUGUGUGUUUCUACAGCGUCAAAAGUUGUAGGGAUCUAUCAUCUACUGUUAGCAGAUGGGGAAAAUAUAAGUUGGUUCUUGAUAGCAAGAAGGUAGUGGAUGUCUUGUAUUUUGCAGGCUCGGCUUCAGGAGACAUCUUGCGUACGUCCAAAUGAUUUCAAGAGCGAGAAUCCUGUCCCGUUUUGGAUUUUAAUUAAUUUCAGGGAUUCAAGGAAAUAAUUAGAUGAGCAACAUUACCUAGAAAUCUCUUCAUCUCAUUUAUUAUAAAUUAUAAAUCCGUCCACAUUUUCUUUUAGCAUCUUACCGAACAUUUUUUUGUUUGUUGAUAGAAACUAUUUUAUAGUUUUCAGCUCAUGAUAACGUCUCUUUUAAUAUAAAGAUGGUAUACUACUGCAAAUUUUGGCCAAAAGGUUGUGAAAUUUUGGUUGACAUCAUGCGACAAUGAGUCGUGCCCCUCCCUAUCUACUAUACAUUUUUGCAACACUUUUUAGGGUUCCUAAUCGGGUCAAAUUUUGUUUAAUUUUGACCCGGAAAUCUUCAAUCGGAUCUUUCCUUAUUUUUGACAAAACUAAAAAACGAAAAUUAAUCAAUAAAAUCUAAAAAAUAUAUAUUUUCUCAACUAAUUACUAUACCUAAACUCUUUAUUUAUGGCAUAUUCUCUAUAAUUUUUAUAGAUAUAGAAAUCAAAUAUGAUUAUUUAAUGCUAAUAUAACAAAUUUGAACUAAUUUCCUAAAACCUCUCUACCUAAUUAAAACAUAAAUAUAUGAUUCUCAUUUCACUUUUAUAUGAUCUUAUAUUUAUAUUAUUUUGAACUAUUAUAAAAUAUAUAUACUUAAUAAAAAAUUCGAUUUUUUCUGCAUAUGCUAUGAUUCAAAUUUUUUAAAACGGACAUAUAUUACUCAAUCGAUGAAGAAAAAAGUAUGUGUACAAUCUAUAUUAACAUUUUUGAAAAACAAAUUUGCGCGUUUAAUCAGGUCGUAUUUUUUUUUUUACUCUGACCCGGAAUUGAGUCAUUCAGAUAUUUUCUUAAUUUCUACAAUUAUCUAAAACGGGACAAUAUACCACGGUAAAAUCUUAAAAUUAACAAAUCGAAAUACAAUUAUUUAGUAUUUUAAUAUACAUUUUUAAAAUAUUUUUACGGGUUGGUCUAAAAACACACACUAAUUUGAAAAUAUAUAUAUAUAUAUAUAUAUAUAUAUAUAUAUAUAUAUUAUAGAAACUAUUUGAAAGCAAACUUUUAAAUUGACUCGAAUUAUAUGUCUUUUAAAUAAAAGUAUUAUUAAAAGAAAUAACAAAAUGAUGUUUAAUUUUACGGGACAUGAUUAUAUGGUGGGACGGGUCGGAUUUGGAUUGAUAUUAAUACGGGAUAAUAUAUCACGGGUGAAAUCCUGGGAUUAACAAAUCAAAAUACAAUUUUUUUUUUUUUUGUCAAAUAUCAAAAUACAAUUAUACAAUUUUAAACACUAAACAAAACAAAUACAUCUUAAAAUUUUCAUUUUUAGUUACAACGCAUGUGACUCGCAAUGUACAACAAAAAAUAUUAUAUACAACAAAUUCAUCGGUCUAUAAAAAAUAAAAAAAAUCAAAUAAUUAACCCGCGGUGUACCGCGGGUAACAAUCUAGUAUAUAUAUAUAAGUAUAUAAUAUAAACUUUCAACUGUACCCACCAAUUUCCUUUGUACCAAUGCUGAAGAAAUUUGCAGUCCAUCAAGUUGUUGGCGUCAUUGCCUAGAUCUAGAUCUUGAUCGUUAGCCCAUUACCAUCUUAUAUUGAGACAGCCUUUGUAAAAAGAUUUUUUUAAAUUCCUGCAAUUAUUCAUAGAAGUAAGAAUCUCUAAAAUACUUUUGAAAUGAGGAAGUUUUAAUGGUUUUAAAAUCUAUUUACAAUGAUAAACUCAGAAACAUCAUAAAUUAAGGCUUUUUAUUAUAAUUGUUUGUAUCAUAAUCUUUGAAAUAUAAUACAUAUACAGAUAUAUUCUUGUAUAUAAUGACACAAUUAAAUCGACUUAAAUUCACGGUAAAUUUCUCCAACCCAAAAUUGAUAUUUUUCUUAUAUUAUUUUUUCACUUUUUUCUUCCUCAUUGUUUUCACGGUCUCCUACUAAAAUUUUCAUCGAAUAUUCGCGAAUGUAAUUUUUCACUCUAUCUUUUGAUAUCUAUAAAACUCUAUUUUUGAUACACAUGAGAGUUUAUACAUACAUGUCCACAUAAAUCUAAACCAUACUGUACGUACACAUUUAUAUAUAUCUAAAUUCACAUUUCAUUAAAUCAUAUUGUACAUAAACAUCCACAUAUGUUUAAGCCAUGCAUGUUUUACGUACACAUCCAUUAUAAAUGCGUACGUAAAAUUUAGAUCUACGAUAUUAUCUUUACUAUUUUGCAAGGGUACAAGUCCUAAUUAAAACCACAAAUUCAAUUCAAUAUCAUUAAAAAUAUAUUAUAUUAAUAUAUAUAAAGCUGAUAUAAAGUGAUUAUGACAAUUUUUCGCGGGGAUAUGCAGUGCCGGCCCGACAUCUGCGAGUGUCCUACGCAAAGCUUUAAAAAGUAUGCAUUUUUCAUAUACUACAAAAACCAUUAACGAAUCAUUAUCGGAUUUGCAGUUUUCUUUUUUAAAACAAAUUUGGAAGGAAAAAAUAAUAAAUUCAAAAGCAAAACUAACAAUUAACUUCAAAACCAAAGAUUUUUUACUUGUAAAAUAAGCAAAUUGACUCACAUACACGCAUAAGAGGUAUCAUAUAGUGUCAGUUUUUAUUUUAUAUAUUCAAUCAGCGUUUUAGAGUUUUUUUUACUAAAUAAAAAAUUUAGUGUUGAAGAUAAUUAAUUUGUCCCCAUAUCAUUUUUUUUAAAAAAGCUCUACAGAAUAAAUUUAUAGCUUUUGCAGCAUAUCCAAAACUUAACAAAUUUUUAGUUUAAAAGGCCCUAAAAUUUUGAGGCCCCAAUCGCUGGCUUCAGUUGCUUGACCUCUGCGCCGGUCCUGGGGAUAUGAGUCCUUGCUAGUUAAGACUUAAGAGUCUUUUUAUUAAAUAAAAAUAAUAAUAAUAAUAGUUGAUCGGCUGGUCCAAGUGGCUCUUGACAAUCUUCACACACGGUUCCAACACUUCUUUGUUCCAUAUCUUUCUCUGCAUAUCGGCUACACCUUCACCUUCCUUGGCUGCCCUAAUUGCCUCUCGAAACGAUGCUGUAGCAUACACCUUCUUUAUGUCCCACCCGGCAUUUCUCAACUUGUCGAUCUUCUUGAUUUGAUCCUUUGUGAGCUGAAACGUGUUUUCUUUGAUCGCUCUCACCGCCUUCUCAUAAGCCUCCUUUCUCAUAGUGUCCCAUUUAUCCAUGUCAUCGUCCCACUUGUACUUUUUGAGGUAGUCAUCAAACUCUUGCACUCCUAUAGCCUUCCAUAACCCCAAUGGCUCUUUCGGGGCCUUCUUAGCGCGGUGGAACUCAGCGAUCUCCUCGAACAUACCUGACUUCAUCAUCAUAUCCAAACGCAAAGAAAGAUACUCGAAUAAGACAGGCUGGUCCACAUCUAUCCAAAUGAAACAACAAUCAUAUUUCAACUCCGAGCAGAUUGAGCCCUUGUGAUCAGAAAACGGAUAGUUUUCAGGAUCAUAAGAUUUUGCAAGGAGUGCAUGAAUGUAGGAGUUGGAUCCACCGGCAAGGAUUGGGAGUGUUUUACGUUGAGUAAUCUCGGAGAUGGCUUUAGCCGCCAUAACGCGAAAUUCUGCUGCUGUGACUUCUCCAGCCUCCGGGUUUAGUUCACCGAGAAGGUGAUGUGGCACUCCACGUCGAUCCGAAAUGGUCGAUUGAUUCGUGGUGAUCUUCAAGCCAUCAUAGAACUGCAUUUUGUCAGAGUUGAUGAUCUCGGCUUUGAAAUGUAAAGCGAGAUCAACCGAGAGUGAUGACUUGCCAGAACCGGUGGCACCCAUGAUCACAACCAUUUUGUCUUUACAAUUCAUGUCGUAAAUUGAGACUGAUAAACACGAAUAGACAAACAAUGUUGCUAUGCUAAUAUCACUUUUUGGUUACCCCAUACACACAUAUAUACUGUAUGAAUGUGUUUAUGAAUGAAAGGAAAGUUUAAAAUUGAUCACAUAAAUCAUUUGAAAUUUAAUUCUAUAACUCUAUAUUAAAGUGUUAUGGAUUCGUUAUUUUUGUUCAUUCAUUAUUUUGUAAAAUGCUAAAUUAACAUUUUUGAAGAUAUUCUUAUCUAAAAUAAGAAUGAAAAUAUUCAAUAUUACUAACAUAGAAAUGAACAUAAAUUUAAGAGAUUUGGUCUAAUAUAUCUUUUCACAUCAUUUUUGGAAUAUCUUUUAAUUGAUAGCUAGGUGUUUACUUGCCAAAAAAAAAAAAUAACUCCUAUAUGAUUUUAAAAGACACAAGUCCACUCAUUCAAAAAUAGAUACAUUGAUAAAAAUUAAUUAUUUUAGUCUAUGUUUAAAUAAUAUUUAUAACUAGUCAUAAGUUUUAGUUUGUUAGAAUAAUAUUCAUAACUAGUCAUAAGUUUUAGUUUUAGUUUUAGUCUAUGUUUAAAGUGACAUUCUUCUAAUUCUUCAAAUAUAUAGGGCUCGAUUACCCGUGCAUUAUUUUAAGUCAACUAGAACACUUGUAAAUCUUCUUAAUUCGUUGCUCUCGUAUUUUUUUGUUAACAAUUGACACCUAACACACAACUCUGGUUAAAUUAAGUACUAUAAUUUUUUCGCAAAUUAGUGAGUCAUUUUUCUGCUCCAGAAAUUAGAUCGAUAUAAAAUUAGUAAGAGAUGCAAAACUUGAGCACAUUAUAUAUUUCAAAAACUGAAUUACUAAUUUAUCAUAACACAGUUUGUAUGUAAUGUAUACAUAUUCAUUUAUUUAUUUCCAUUUGUAUUGUGAACAAAAAAAAAAAAACUAAACCCGCUCGGUUUAACAUCCAUUAGACGCGAAGGCGAAUGUUCUCAUCGUCGUCGUCAACGGCAUCGGCGGCUCCAGCUGCAAGGUCAAGGAGUUUCUCCAUCUGCACAGUCAUUUCCUUGAGCGUGGUUGAAGCCUUGUCAGUGUUUUUCCCAACCAAUUCAUUCACGCGCCUCAUGUUGUCGCUUGAAGCCCUGACGUCGUAGUUAGCCGUGUCCGGGGAUGCCUUGAGCUUCACAUUUGCACUCUUGAGAUCAGCUGCCACGGCCAGGUAGGCCUUGUGGCACUCUGUAAACGCAGUCUUCACCGUUGGAUCUUUCUUCGCAGUCUCAUCUACGAAAAUCGCUGUCUUCUCCGCGUGUGAUGUGGCCAAGUUGAUCACAGCCUCCGACAAUGGAAGCUGUUUAAGAUAUCAUUUUUAAGCAUUUUAUUAGCAUAAACUAAUAUAAUGAUCAUAUCCAUUAACGAUUGAGAUGUGAAAGAAAAAAACAAUUUGUUUACAACAAACAACAUAUUUUUAGAGAUACUAAUGUAUGUAUUGUUUCAAACUUUUAAGUUUUUUUUGGCUUCCAACUAAAAACAAUUUGGUAAUAAGUGGAUUAACAAAUAUUUCUUAUACGUUAAUCUAAGUAUCUUUUAUUUCCGAUGUGUGAUUCUAUCUAAACACGUCAAUUUCUGUUUAAGUGAAAUAUUUUAACCUAAAAAAAAGCAUUUCAACUUUUUCAUAUAUAAAAUAUUUUGUUUGGUUGAUUUGAAAACAAGGAAAAAGAAAAUGCAAACGAAUAAUUGAGAUCGUCGUACCAGGCCAAUGGGAGCAGCUGUAGGGGGAUUGGUAGUCAAAGUUUUAACGCAGAAAGCUUGGUCAUGGGCACGAUCACAGAUGGCGUCAAUGUAUUUCAUGUGAGGGGAAGCUGAAGCAGGAGAUAAGAGUAGUUGCAACGUAAUUGCCGUCGCGGCGAAGGUGGACAGAACAGAGGACGUUGCCAUUUCUCUUAGCGUCGGAAGUUUUCUUGCUCAAGUUUUCGGUUGUUAUUCAGUUCUAUGUUGUUUGGCUUUAGUUUAAGGCGGAUAUAUAUAUGUACACUUAGGGUUUCAUCUAAGGCUGGAUAACUUUAGAAUGUGCUAUAUUAUAAUUGGUAUCAAAUGAUGUUAAAUUUACUAAAACGUUUUGCCUAUUUUUGCUAAAUUUGGAGAAUAUAUGUUAAAUUCGUGGUUUGUAUAAAUUUAGUCAAAGACCUAUUUUUGCUAAAUUUGGAGAAUAUAUGUUAAAUUCGUGGUUUGUAUAAAUUUAGUCAAAGACAACGUCCGUUAUCGUCUUUCUUUGUUUAGAAAAUGGAUAUGCCGUGAUCAUAAUUGUUGAGCAAAAUUAGAAAAGUAAAUGCACUGAGGAUUGCUUUUUAUUUAGAGUUAUAGAUUUAAAUAGGUAAUACAAUAGUAAAAUAAAAUACAGAAAUUUGUUAGAUUGAUGAUAUUUCCUUUAAUACCAGUGCUAGUUGCAUGUAAGAGAAGAUGAUAACUUGGAUUUUGGCUGAGCUAAACAGAGACAAUUUUAAGGUAGAUAUUAUGGACGCAGAUACAGAAUGGAAUAUCCACAUAAUAUUAACAAAAUAGCACAAUACACAUUGAGAAAACGAAAAGAAGUUAGAAAAACUACUACUCUUGGUAUUGUAUAUACUCAAGAUUACAUUAACUGAUUCGCAAAUCCCCGAAACCAAAUCACAUCUACCGACUUCUGUCCUAAAAGAGAGCUUCCACCCACCCUCAUCCCCUUGCUUCCUUUGCUGUUGCGUAGCUUCGGCUUUCCCUCACAUCUGUUGCUGCUGCUACAUCCCAGCUCCCACUUCUUCUUCCCCAGCUUCCAUGCCUUGCUUCUGUCCUUAUCGAGCCUGCUCUCUCAUGGUCAAUGUCCAAUGUGUGAUGAGGCUGAUUGUUGUUGGCCUCUUCUGCAUUACAACGCUGUGAGAGAUUAAUAAGAUCUUCUCCAAUGUCUAGGUCGUCUUCCACUUUCUGUCGCCGAGGCCCAUUUUCAUCCUCUGCUUCCCCUGAUUCCCUGGUGGUGCUAGGCAGGGUAACAACUCUUGGAGGUUCUUCUUCGAUGAAGGCUCUAAAGUUGUUCCUCGAGGGCUUCACCUUUGAGCAAAAUACUUCCAGGAAAUUGUUUGGACAGCCACGGUUAUAUACAAUGCUCCUGCUGUGUGAUGAUCUGUACCGGAGUUUCUCAUAGGUUGUCUGAAAAACUUGCACGGUGUUGCUAUCAGCUGACUCACAAUUUGCAUACAAUACUAAUACCAGAAAACAAUAACAGUGAUUGCAAGUAGAAAACAGAAUUCUAAAACAAUAGGGACCAACUGACCUGGUUUGUACUUAUGAGGUACAAGUGAAACGCUGUGAGCCCUCCAACAAACCAUAGGGCAAUAAAGCAAUAUAUCAUCAGCACAACUGACCAAGGUGAUUCUUUCAUUGCCCUCCACACAGUUCCUUGUUGAUCAUUCAUCAGAAUCUUGAUGUAUAUAGCCGACAUCGAGAAAAUAUAGAUGCAGAGAAGUGUUGACGAAGAAACAAACAUAAAGAAAUACCUAUAGUUUCUCUGCCAAUGGACACAACUUUCUAAGUCAGAAUCUACACAUGUAACAAGACAAUAUAGCAGAAAACAGAUUGGCCAAUCGGCAGAUAAAACAGAUCUUGGCCUUUCAGAUAAGAGAGAAGGAAACCUCGCACUUUUUCUGACAAUAAAAACUAUCUAUUUAAGUCAAUAUGCUUUUGAUUGAGCUUACCAGUCCAAUGCAUUGGCCCACCCAUGGGCAAUGAUGAUCAAAUCGCUCAACACAGUUGUUGCAUAUGGAACAAUGAGAGCAGCGGGGAGGCCUGUAAAGCAUGCACGUAUCACAGUAUUUCACUCUAACAGAAACACCAUUAACCAUGACUUCUUUCGUCCUGGGAAUUUGAACACUUGGUGUUUGUCUUCCAUCAGCUGAUACUGUUGUCUCAUAGCGUAGUUCUUCCUCUGGUGGAUGCAAAUUUCGAGGAACAAUACCAGGAUCUCGUGCAGAUGUGAAGAAGAGGAGGAUCAAUACCUAUCAAAGCAAACUUCGUGAUUCAGAAAAGCCAAAAUAACAACGCCUAAAUGCCAAAUAACAGGGGGCAGAACAGGAAGACAGGGUUUAAGCUUCUAAGACGGGUAAGAAACAAACAAGGAACAUCUUAUGCUACAUGAUCGCGGAGUAGUCAAGUCAUUUUUCAGUUAAAAUAAUUUAAACCAAUCAGGGUCCAUCCCAGUGAUCAAACUUUGAUGCUUCAUUAACAUGAUACCAUUUAACCACCACAUAACAACUGACAAAUGUUGUUGAUAACCCGAUUAGGCAAGCAAGCAAACAUAAAAUCAGAAAUCAAAUAUUUACAAGAAUGAGAUAUAUAGGACUGUCAGAUGGGGUAUCGGAGAAGACUUACAUAAAUAGUGAAAAGAAUUGCUACCACCAAGAUAGCAUAUCCCGCAUUGUAGGGAGAGAACUCAUGGCGAAGGUGCCUUGCUACAAAUACACAGAACAAAACAACUGGAACUAUGAUCAAUAGCAAGGUGAGAGGCAGUGACCUAGCAUCUGGUCCAAAUAUCAAUCUCCCACCAAGGAUGAAUUUCUGCAAAAGAGAAAGGGAAGAGCAUUUAUUGGUAUCAGCAUACUGAUUUUAAAACAUGUGAAGAGUCAAGCAUUCAGGAUACUUGCAAUUUUUAUAAAUUCCAAGGAACAUUCAACUUGAUACAAGGUUAUACAAAAAUGCAUGGUCAUGCUUUGAGAGUGAAUCAAGAGACACAAUGAUGUAUAAUAAGUACUUCAAAGAUUCAGCUCAACAACAUUAGUUUACACGUACCAAAGUGAACCAAUUGCGUAGCUAAGACUAUGCUACACUGUGAACUCGAGAAAAAAACAAAUUCCAAAUCAUUUUUCAUGUAAACAGCUCAAGAAACACUGCAAAAAUCAACUAAAACCCAGUCACGUUCAUACCAGAGAACAGAAUUCAGAGAAUAUUCAUCUUCCAACAAGAGAAAACACACAAAAACAAAAACAAAAAAAUCCAGGCUCAAUCAUUCGAUGAAGAAUAAAAAAAAAAGACUUACAUUGCUUCCUUUCCAGACUUGGAAUACUCGUUUUGUCAUGGGGAGAAGAAGAAUAAAGCGACGGAAUCAGAAACUCCUAAGCUACCCAGUGACGGAAUUCGAAGGAUAGCUGUAUAAUUCUCCCCGUGUUCUAUUUCAUUCCAAAAGUCGCCAGCCAAAUCCUCCGGCGAAGACGAGGGUUUUAUUCCGACGAAGAAAUCGACGGAAACCUAACAGUACCAGAGAUCGCUAGCAGAACCCUAAUGAUUACGCAAUUAAAAAGGCUCGCGAGCGACUUCUGGUCUGACCUCCCUCAAUGGUCGACCACGACGAACGAAAGAAUAACUUUUUUUUUUUUUUUUUUUAAUCUCCUUACGAUUUUUUCUCCCUUUCUUCUGUUUAUAAAUAUGAUGUCAUCAUGUUUAUCUCCUAAACCACAAAUUAGAAUUAGUGUCCUCAAAUUUUCUGCACAUUUUUGGGUCAGAUUCAUUCCUCGUGCAAACUAUACAAUUUCAGUUGGAGAUUUUUGUUCUUUUUAUGAUUUUUAGCGGAAUACAUACAUCAAAUUUAUGUCAGAAAACAACAAAAUACCAUUUAUUUGAGUCAUUUGUGUAUUUUUUUUGGUCUUUUCAAUUGAAUCUCAAUUACAAUUGAUUUGAUUGCAAAGUUUUGACUAAAUUCUAUUGAAUUGUAUGAAACCAAUAACAUUUCUUCUCAAUGAGCCAUGGAUAACUCUUUUGUUUUAUGAGAGUGAUGAUCUCAUUUGUUCUCUAGAUGUCGAAUUUUUAUGUCAGGAGUCCCACAAACUCAAAGGUUCUUUGAAGAACAACCAUACUCCAAAUGAUCAUUUUAAUAAACUCAAAAUAUCAUCUCGAACACAUACAAAUAGUUUAACAACACAUACCAUUCAUCCUAUAGUGUAGAGUAGAGUGUUUAAGUGCUAGUUUUUGCUCUUCAACUAAAAAGAGUGGUAGUUAUUCUGAAGAGAACAAAACAUCUGAAAAUUGGCGGGCCAUGUGAAACAAAAUAGAAUAUGAUGCCAAUUGAGACAAUAAUACUGAUAUAUAGUCAGUCGUAAGAAGAGUGAUAAAAGCUUUGUGAAUCCUACCUAAUCUAAGCAGGGCCGUUCGCUCCCACCAAAGGACAAAUCUCUCUCCCGCACUCAUCUCUGUUCAUUGGUUCCUCCCAAAAAAUAUCAAUCAAAUCGGAAUAAACUAAACGAACCCUCGAAUAUAAAGCUCCACCCUUUCUCUUUCUAUCUCUCUCUCCAUUGUUGACUGACUCUCUUCCCUCGUAAACAUCGCUGUCUCUACGAUGGCCUCUCUCUCAGGCCUCUACUCUUCUUCUCCAUCUCUCAAACCUUCCAAAAACCUUUCCUUUAAAGCAUUGCCGGCGCUAUCCCGAGAUUCCUUCUCUUUCCCACAUACCUCCAAACCCACCAAUCUACCGUUGACUCUCUCCUCGGCUCGCUCCGUGGCGCGCGACAUUUCACAUGCGGAUUCGAAGAAAGAGCUUCUUAAGGAUCCGGAUGCGUUGUGGAAGCGAUACCUCGAUUGGUUUUAUCAGCAGAAAGAGCUCGGGUUGUAUCUGGAUAUUAGUCGGGUCGGAUUCACCGAUGAGUUUGUGGCCGAAAUGGAGCCCCGGUUUCAGACUGCGUUUAAGGCUAUGGAGGAUCUUGAAAAAGGGUCUAUAGCGAAUCCGGAUGAAGGAAGGAUGGUUGGACAUUACUGGCUUAGGAACUCCAAGCUCGCACCUAAGCCUACUUUAAAGACCUUGAUCGAGAACACACUUGAUUCUAUCUGCGCUUUCUCCGACGAUAUAAUCUCUGGAAAGGUCAGUUUUUGAUCCCACCUUGUUUGGCAUUUUGAUCAUUUUGGAAAAUGAUAGCUCUCUGCAGAGUGUCUUACUUAGAUCACCUUUUGAAUUUUGUUUGGAAAGUUGAUAUUUUGGCGUCAAUCAAUCGCAUUUCUGAUACUGGAAAGAUUGUUCUAUGCAGAGUCUUACUUAGUUCACCUUUUUGAAUCUUGUUUGUUUGCUAUCCCCCACUCAAUUUUGUUUGUACAUUGCAGAUAAAGCCACCAUCUUCUCCUGAGGGUCGUUUUACUCAGAUACUUUCUGUUGGCAUUGGUGGGUCGGCUCUUGGACCUCAAUUUGUCGCUGAGGCCUUGGCUCCUGAUAACCCUCCCUUGAAGGUAUCACGUACUCUUCUAAUUGCAAUCAACAUUACAUUCCCUUGCUGUUAACACUCUUGGCCAUCCCUUUAACAAAUGGGUGUUCUUUUAUCUUUGCCUCGUAAAAGGAUCUUAUCUCCUAGGUUUUCCUGAUUGAAAGAGUCUAAUUUGUUGUCUUCUGUUUUCUGACUUUAUGUUCUUCCUUUGGCUGUUGACAGAUAAGAUUCAUUGACAACACCGACCCUGCUGGAAUCGAUCAUCAGAUCGCACAACUUGGGCCAGAGCUUGCCUCGACUUUAGUAAUUGUCAUCUCAAAGGUGUGUCUUAUAUUCAGUUGUGUUUAUAUGAUGGUUGGUCCUGAUAUUGGCGAGCAUGAUUAAGUUUCUUACGUAUUCCCAGAGUGGAGGUACUCCUGAAACUAGAAAUGGACUAUUGGAAGUGCAGAAAGCAUUCCGUGAAGCUGGUCUGAAUUUCGCAAAACAGGUGUUAAUCUCAGGUUUUUGUUUCCGCUUUUUGCUGAAAUCCAUGUCUCUACGAACAUGGGAAGAAUGCUGUAUUAUAAUGGCCAAACUGGUUUACACGACUGGAAGUAAUCUGAGAAAAGUGGACUAAUUAUUUCAUCUCAUUAACGACAAAAAAAACUGGCUUCUCAUGGAUCAUAAGACAGUAGACACCUUCGGAUGUAUUGGAUAUAAUUUAGCUUCAACUUCUGCCCAACUGUAGUUCCUCAGCAGCAAUUUCCCGCUGUAUGCUUAUGCAGGGUGUUGCAAUAACCCAAGAAAACUCAUUGCUGGAUAAUACGGCAAGAAUUGAAGGUUGGCUAGCUAGAUUUCCUAUGUACGACUGGGUGGGUGGAAGAACAUCAAUAAUGUCUGCAGUUGGUCUGCUUCCAGCAGCACUACAGGUAAUUGGUACAUAAACUUAAACUUUGUAUGACCAUUCGUUGCUUUUAUUUAUACUAAAGCAUUGUCAUCGUAUAGGGGAUUAAUGUUAGGGAGAUGCUUACUGGUGCUGCUUUAAUGGAUGAGGCUACUAGGACAACUUCGGUAAGUCGUACUUAUUGCAGCUUGUGUUGAAGAUGAGUUUACUUACCAGGGUUUCAGUAAAAUGUCAUAUCAUACGGUUGGGUUUCCUGACUCAUACACUUUAGAUAGUCUCUACCAUGACUCAUUCUAGCCUGUAAAUUUCUUUCUUCUUUCAGAUCAAGAAUAACCCUGCAGCGCUCUUAGCUAUGUGUUGGUACUGGGCUUCCAAUGGCGUUGGUUCCAAGGUGUUUUUCCUCAACUUUUUCGAGAGUUCUAAGACUAUCAAGGAGAUUGAGUUCUUAUUGACCUUUUUACUCUUUUUUUGCUUUCUUUUACAGGAUAUGGUUGUCCUUCCUUACAAGGAUAGCUUAUUACUGUUUAGUCGGUAUCUGCAGCAGCUGGUCAUGGAAUCGCUAGGAAAGGAGUUUGAUCUUGACGGUAACACUGUAAGCAUACUCUUCAAUUUUCUCCGCAGUACCCCAAAUCAAAGUUCAUGAGCAUGUACUGAGAACUGAGAAGUGUAAAUUGGUCUUACAAUUAAUGCCCACUCUUAUAAAUCAGAAGACCUUGGUUACUUAAUUACUUGUGCACAUGAUUGAGUUCAGUUUGUUACCGCUCCUCCUUCAUGGUAGAAUUGAAAACUGUGUACUGUUUCCUCAACCCUGUUAUUACGAGUGUGAUUCCAAGGAGCGGUUAUUUGAAUUUGCAGGUUAAUCAAGGGCUAACUGUGUAUGGAAAUAAGGGGAGCACAGAUCAGCACGCGUGAGUUUCCUUUAUUCAUAUUGUUUUACUAUUGAGAGACAUAGCAAGCUCUUUAUGCAACAGUAUUUAAUUUUUAUUUUAUUUUAUUAGCUACAUUCAACAGCUGAGAGAUGGUGUGCACAAUUUCUUUGCAACCUUCAUAGAAGUGUUACGGGACAGACCUCCAGGUCACGAUUGGGAGCUUGAGCCAGGUGUCACUUGUGGAGACUACCUCUUUGGGAUGCUACAGGUCUGAUCUAUGAAUCUCGUUUCGCACAACUUAGUCAGAGAUAAUAUUCACUCUUUAUGAUGCUACAGCUCUGAUUUAUGAUGCUACAGGUCUGAUUUUUCCCGCUGAUAAGCUGGUUUGAAUUUGUCCAGGGAACUAGAUCUGCUUUAUAUGCAAACGGUAGAGAAUCCAUCAGUGUUACUAUCGAGGAAGUGACACCAAGAUCUGUUGGGGCUCUUAUAGCUCUUUAUGAAAGAGCUGUUGGAUUAUAUGCCUCAAUUGUGAACAUAAAUGCUUACCACCAACCCGGUAGAGAUAUUCCGCCCAUAUCGGGAAACCGAUGUUCUGUAAUUGCCUAAUUGAUAUUUGUUUACUGAAUCUGAAUAAAAAACGAUUUCAGGUGUGGAAGCAGGGAAAAAGGCAGCAGCAGAAGUUCUGGCCCUGCAAAAGCGGGUAUUGUCAGUUCUUAAUGAAGCCACGUAAGAAUCAGACCAAGUCCGCUUCUCUGUCAAAUCUUGUCAAGACUCAAGAGAGACCACUUAUAUACUAAUCAUUCUUUCUGUGCCUGCAGUUGUAAAGAUCCGGUAGAGCCAUUGACACUGGAAGAGAUAGCUGAUCGUUGCCAUGCUCCUGAGGAAGUAACGUGAAGUUAAUUUAUUUAUUUUCAUUUGUAACUUUCGAGUGCACGUAUCAAGAAGUCUUUAUCUUUGAAUUUGCAGAUAGAAAUGAUAUACAAGAUCAUAGCGCACAUGUCUGCAAAUGACAGAGUUCUGAUAGCUGAAGGAAACUGUGGAUCGCCACGAAGUAUCAAAGUGUAUCUGGGCGAAUGCAAUGUGGAUGACCUGUACGCAUAAGAAACCCAACACUUUCUCAAAACUCCAAACACUCAUUCUCUCCAUUCCUUAUUUAUUUCUGCCAUGUCUAUGAUUUUGAAAAAGAAAAAGAUUGCAAUAAGAGCCAGGAAACACUUGUGUACUUGUCUUGAAAUAAAGAUAAUUUCAGAAUGUUGCAAAUGUUGAUUGUAAUGAUAACAUUGGUGAGGAUUCAUCAAUCAAUCAGGCUCAUGUGAAACAACAAACAAUGAUCUCAACACUCUUCUGCUUGUUUUUUGGUUAGGUGUUCUUUUGUUGCAUCUCUAUAAACAAAGAAAAGCUUAAGCAAAUCAGCAGGUUAGGGAUGCUCAACAACUUCCUACCAUGUGGUUAGAUAGUAUUAGUAUUGCAACUCAAGCAAUAAAAUCUACUUCUGAAUUUUCUUAGUAAACCCCGUUCAGAUCUAACAAAGAUAACACUAAACAUUUAAGUAAACUUUAUAAACUAAAAGCUCAUAAUUUUCCAUAAUAACUUUCACUUGCCACUUUCGAAAUUCGAAUGGAAUAUGUUGACAAAAAAUGGUAGAUCCACCGUAAGAAAACAAGACACAAGUCGAGUCGAUUGUCCCCACCACCACCUAUUUAGUAGCCUACCAUAACAACAAAAAAAUUAUAACGUUACAAACUCCUUUUUCCAAUUUUCAAAACCAUUUAUAAAUUAGAAGAUGUUGAAUCGCUUUUCCACGUCAUCACUACCCGUUAUGCCACAGCUCCUAUCAAGCUGGUGCGCGUACUAAACGACACCGUAUUUGAGAGGUCUUACCAACUAGAUUGCUUUUCCUCUCUACCCUUUCCCAAAUUUGAAUUCCCAAUUUUUUCAAAAUUAAAAAAGAGAAUUAAAAGUAAAUUUAAAAUAAAGGCAAAAAUAUCAAAAAAAAAAACAAAGAAAAAUCAUUUUGAAGUGCACACAGAUUUCAAUCGUCUCUCUCUCUCUCUCUGAGAAAGCUUUCUGAUUAAGCUUUCGUCGUCUCCUCCAUUGCAAAAUCUAGCUCGAUCUGUGAAGGUUUCUCUAAGUUCUUCGAAAAUCUCUUCUAAAGCAAGACUUCAUUAGCUCAAUUUAGCAAUUUCCUUCACCUCCAUUAACUCACACUGUGCUUCUAUUUCAACUCCACAUUUCACAAUGAUCCCCAACGGAGAAUUGAGAUUGCCAGCUCCCAAGGUCCGUGAUGGCCGCGUGUCUCCCCCAGCUCCUAUUCCGGUCACCAGAACCCUCGUGGCCGAUACUGACGCCACUUCCGAUGACGACGAUAUGAGUACAAAUUCCGAGGAUGUCUCUCUCGAUUCGUCUCCCGAGAACAGUAGAGUGUCCAGUGCCGUUGGUCGCAGCUACGGAAGAAAUUCUUCUUAUUAUACAUACUCCGAGGUGAGCUCAUCAAGAGAGACUUUGGUCGGUGCACGCGAACAGACGGGACCUAGAUUUGAUGGUGAUACGGAGGAGGAUGAAUCCACCGAUUCAGCUUCUAGCUCGCAAUUUUCUCCGCCGCCGGCAGCUGGGAGGAUUAAUGGCGGCGUACCUCAGGUGGAACAAACUCACUUCCCUAAGACGGACGGGCGAGCAACUGUCGAGAAGGUUUGAACCUUAACCUUUUGUGUUAAUAUCUCUGAUAUUAGAAACAGUUUAGUGCGAUGGAUGAUUUUAGGCGUUCGUAGAGCUAGGAUGACCAAUAAAAUGACUGAUAUGGAAAGAUAUGCAAUCGCGUUUUGUUCUCAUCUGUUUUGAUUGUGGUUUGAAGAUUUUGAUUUUGUGAUCAUCUAAUCAUAACAAUGUCGAGAUAUGGGAUUGUGCUUUAGCUGAUGCCCUAGUUCUCUAUGUAAAUCCAGAAAAGAGCUGCUUUUCUUCUUUCAGUUUUACAUGUGUUUGUAUUCCCUUGUAACAUGGUGGAACAGCGAGGAUGUCUACAGGAUUUGUUUCUUUAUUGAUCUUCUAAAAGCUCUAGUUCAUAUUGCAGGAGUUUGAUGAGACGUUUCCUUCUGAAGAAGUAAGCGAUAUUCCCAGUGCCCCUCCAUUUUCCGGGGCAGCAGAGGAAUCUGAAGAAAUUAAACCAGCAACUUCAAGCGUUCAAGUUUCAGAAGUCAAAACAGAAGAUUGUGUAGAAAGUAGAAAGACUGGCCACUUUACUAGGUAUUCUAUUUUUAGCUCUUUAAAUGAAAUGAGUUCUCAUUUUUGGUAAACCAAUUUCAGUUUUUGCUUCUGUUCCUAUUAGACCUAGUGCAGCUUCUGAGUCAUCUGGGGCACCUGAUCAACAUCCAGCUCGGCUUCCAACUUUUCAUGCAAGGUAGUUCUGAUCUAAUUAGUUUAUUCACUGCUUCCCAAACUGGAUAUAGACAUAUAGAAAACCUAGUGUUAUCUUCAAUCAGUGUAGUAUACAAGUUGGAUUCUUAAUCACUCUGCCACUUUUUUUAAUGAAUCCUGAUAUAGUUCUCGUGGGCCAUGGCAUGCCGUGGUUUCCUAUGAUGCAUGUGUACGACUUUGUCUGCAUGCAUGGUCAACGGGUUGCAUGGAGGCUCCCAUGUUUUUGGAAAAUGAGUGUGCUCUUCUACGAGAAGCAUUUGGGUGAGUUUCUUAUAUCCCCUUUCUUAGUUAUCAUAUGUAUUCCUUAAAUUUCUCUGUAUUAUUGCCGUGAAUAUAUUUAUUUUAUUUCUUUAUGCAAACUGAAGUUGAAGGAUAGUUUUUGUCCACAUGCCUCUAAAAAAUUACUGAAUAACAGUUUUGUAUUUGGGUUAAUACUGACUAACAGGUUGCAGCAACUCCUUUUGCAAUCGGAGGAGGAGCUUCUGGCAAAGCGAUCUUCACAAGCUCCGCACGAAGGAGUUGCACCAAAAUCCAAGAAAAACAUUGGCAAAAUGAAGGUGCAAGGUAAACUUGAGUUCUGUGUUUCAUUUAAUACCUGGCUACCCCUCAUAUAAUCAAUAGUCAUAAAAUAUAUGUGUCGGCUUUUGCAGUACGACGUGUUAAAACAGUUAUGGAUGGUCCAACUGGCUGUAGUAUAUCAUCUUUAAAGCCAUCGUUGAUAAAGUUUGAGAAAAUCCGGAUUCACUUUUCCAAUAUGUCAACACGCUUAUUUUCUGGAUGGCGGGCUCUAAGGAAGAUCCAUGUCCGUGUACCAGCCAAUGGUUCUUCUCUUCCUCGUCAAAGUCUGGCAUAUGUACAUGCCAGUACACAGUACUUAAAACAAGUUUCUGGUCUCCUGAAAACUGGUGUCACAAGUCUACGUAAUAAUUCAACGUCUUAUGAUGUUGUACAAGGUAUGUAUAAGUUAUUAACUACUUGCCUCUUCGGGGAGAAUUAACUCUGCUUAACAUCUGAGUUUUAAAAUAAUAAUAUGACACUUAUAUGUAUUUAUAUAAGUGUCUGUGGGCAAAUUUAGAAAGAAAUUGUAUUUCCAUGUUUCCCAGUUCACUACACUCUAUUUUGCACAAUAACUUUUAUAAGAUCGAUUGACCUGUUCGGUUUUGUCACUCAGAAACAUACUCGUGUAAGUUAAAAUUGAAAAGCUUAGCUGAAGAUGACGCCAUUAUGAUGCAACCCGGAUCUGGUGAAAGCCAUGUUUUGUAUGUUCCUAUUUUCCCAACUCUUGUUUUCACUCUCUCAAAUCUACUUGGAGUAGCUUUCCCUUUUGAUUUUUGUGAUGUGUGACAAAGUAUAUGGAAUUUCAACAGCUUUCCUGAUAGUCAUGGAGAUGAUCUGAUCGUUGAGAUCCUUGAUCCAAUGGGGAAGGAUUUUGGGCGUGUGCUUGUGCAACUAGCUAAUAUUUCUGAAGAUUCGGUAAGUCAUUUUACUUGCCUUUUUUAUAUGUUAGUACGUUUCAAAUGAUUCUAAUGAAGAAACCAUACAGGCUGAGAAACUUCGCUGGUGGUCUGUUUUUCGUGAGCCAGAACAUCAACAUGUGGGAAAACUCCAGCUCUAUAUUGACUAUUCAGCAAGUUUUGAUGAUAACAGCCAUUUGAAGGUGUGUUAACUACCUAUCACUCAUUAUAUUUGGUACCUUUGGUGAUCUCUUUUUUGCUUUGCUCUCUAUAAGUGGAUUGGCGUUUCUUUUUAGUAUACUAUGAGACACUCCAGCAGUCCAUUUCCUUUAGCAACUUUAAAACUUUAUCUCGUACAACAAUAGCCUCUUCUAUUGGUCAUAGUAACUAGAUUGUUUGAACCUGAAAAUAUUAUCUUACAAUAGUUGUUAAUGUUGGACUUAUUAUUAGAAAUUUUACUAAAAGAUGGACCUUUAUGGCUUUCAAAGAGCUCAUGCACGUAUAUUCAGCUCCUCUCACAUUCAAUUCUUUCAAUUCUAAGUUCUUUGAUUGAAACAAGAUUUCUAUUCUACCCUUUGAAGAUUGUGUCUCUGAACACAGACAAAACUCAUUGUAUUGUGUUUAGAAAAUGUUUGUGUAUUGAUUUUCUAAUUCAUCUUCCCUUUAGUGUGCUUCUGUUGCGGAAACAGUCGCAUAUGACCUAGUCCUGGAAGUGGCCUUGAAAAUGCAGCGGUUUCAGCAAAGAAACUUGUUGUUAUAUGGUUCAUGGAAAUGGCUUUUGGAAGAAUUUGCCACCUACUAUGGGAUUUCAGAUGUCUACACCAAGCUCAGGUAUACAGUACUCAUUUUUUUUAAUUCUCAUCAUUUGAGGGAUAUGCUAUAACUCCAUUUUCUCUAUCUUUCUUGUAUUGUUGCUUAUAGAUACUUGUCCUAUGUAAUGGAUGUCGCUACACCGACUUCCGACUGUCUCCAUUUGGUACAUGACUUGUUAACACCUGUCAUCAUGAAGGGAAAUGGCAAGAGCGCCUUGAGUCAUCAAGAGGUACAAAUGCAUUUAUCGAUUAUUAAUUUUUCUGUGCGGGUUUCUGUUUUGUGUGGGUUUCGUAGUUAUGUGAUUCUUGUCUCACAUUUAGCGACAGAUAGGAUACGACCCUAAAGUUAGCUUGUAUACGUUGAUCAUAGUACUUCACUCAGAGAACCACAUUAGAAUACAAUGGUGAAUAACAGAGUUAGACUUCACGCAGUUGCUCACAUGGCAAUUUUAAGCAUCAGACAGUACCUCAUAUCACCCAAGUUAAUCCUGUUUGUUGUUGGUUUUUUUUCUUGUGAAAGCAUAAUAGUACUUUCUGCUUAUGGAGCUCUACUUUUUAUUUUUGCUUCAACAGAAUCGGAUCUUGAAUGAAAUCAAGGACCAGAUCGAGCAGAUUCUGAAGCUGGUCUUUGAGAACUACAAAUCUCUUGACGAGUCAUCAUUUUCUGGAAUGAUUGAUGUGGUCAGUUCUGCAUCAGGGGUUCCAGCGCCAGCACUCACUCCUGCUGUGAAAUUGUACACGCUUCUGCACGAUGUCUUAUCACCCGAGGAUCAGACUAAUCUUUGUCAUUAUUUUCAGGUAUAUCAUACAGCCUCUCAAUUGCCUUACCUUACUCUUGAGUCUUGAUCAGUCAUUUUUUCUCAUCUAUCUGGUAUCAAUGCAUUUAUAGGCAGCAGCAAAGAAGAGAUCUAGAAGGCACAUGGGUGAGACAGAUGAGUUUGUUGCAAACAAUAGCGAGCCCAAUUUUUGGGAUACGUCUGCAAUGUCGGCUGCUUACCAGAAAAUGACAAUGGCCUGCAAGAAUGUAAAGAAUGAGAUCUACACUGAUAUUGAGAUCCAAAAUGAAGAUAUACUUCCCAGGUUAGUAUACAAGUGAAAAAUAGUUAUGUUCAACUAUUAUUCUGUUCAAUUAUUCCAAAUAAUUUAUAUAAGAGAUAACUGAAUGCUACUCUUGUCCAAAAUAUGCAACGUCAAGUAGAUCUUCAACCAAAAUAUUAUUUGCUGACCAACCAACCCUAGUCAACUGUAGUGGAUACUGUUUGUGGGUUGUGUUGGUGACAAGCUCUAAAGUUUCAAAGUAGUGGCCAUAUUAUUUUCAUCUUACAAUAGACAGACUCGUGAACUUAUUAGCUAGAUGGCCAAAUUCUUUUCAGAAAUUUGGUAGCAACUUCUUUUCCUUCCCUUAGCUUCUCUUUCAAUCUAUGGUUAUACGUAGUUAACAUCACCCAUACUAUUGCCCUUAUGUGUUAUCUACUAUCUGUGAACCACUAUUGUGUCAUUAUGGUAUCAAAUUUAUGUGAUUGAGAUGUUUAGAUGUGUGACUGUACCUAAGGCUCUUGUUGCAUCUUCCUGCAGCUGUUGAUACCCCGUGUUUCUUAUAUUGUUUUAUGCAGCUUUCUUGACCUUCCAAACCUGUCAGCGUCUAUAUAUAGCACUGAUCUCUGUAAUAGACUUCGAGCAUUCCUCGUUGCAUGUCCGCCCUCUGGCCCUUCACCAACAGUUGCAGAGCUUGUGAUUGCUACUGCAGACUUUCAACGUGAUCUUUCCAGCUGGAACAUUAGGUAGGUCGUUUAGAUUAUUUGGUUUGUUGAUUGUCUGUUAUAUUUUUGACUGGUAUCAUAUUUCAAUUUACAGUCCUAUCCAAGGCGGUGUUGAUGCAAAAGAGUUGUUUCAUCUAUAUAUCAUGAUUUGGAUUCAAGAUAAACGCCUUUCAUUACUUGAGUCCUGCAAACUUGAUAAGGUAUGUAUACUGAAAUUUCCGUUUGUUUUUCUUCAGAUAUAUUUUUUUAAUAUAUUUUCCCUUGCUCUCUGUUCUUCUCAGCAUAUGUCGCAUCAUUAAAACUGACUUCGUUGUAUCAUUACAAAACCUGUCAUUCAAGCAGGUUAAAUGGUCUGGAGUCAGGACACAGCAUUCAACAACUCCAUUUGUUGAUGAAAUGUACAAGAGGCUGAACGAAACCAUUCAAGACUAUCAAGUUAUCAUUUCCAGAUGGCCAGAAUAUAUCUUUGUUCUGGAGAGUGUAAGUUUAGCUGUUCCUUGAUGCCUUUUGAUUUUGAUAUUGGGAUUGUGGAAAUAUUGCUUGUACAUUCCAUUGCAAGUUAUCAGCGUACAACUUAAUUUAAUUUAUGGUGUGAAUUUGGAAUGAAAAGGCUGACAUUGAUUGUGUUUCAUUUAGGCCAUUGCUGAUGUUGAAAAAGCAACUGUGGAAGCUCUGGAGAAGCAGUAUGCAGAUGUCUUAUCACCUCUCAAAGAAAACUUGGCUCCAAAAAAACUAAGCUUCAAGUAUGUCCAAAAACUGACCAAAAGAUCUGUGAUUCCAUAUAUAGUCCCGGAUGAGGUGAGCAUAACUUUCCUGCAUUUUUUCCCUUAACUUCUAUCAGAAAAUAGAUUUGUUUUCCUGAGAAGUUUCUGUAUCUGUUUGGUGCAGCUUGGCAUUCUAUUAAACUCCAUGAAGAGGAUGCUUGAUGUUCUACGGCCUAAUAUAGAGGCUAAAUUUAAAGCAUGGUCUUCAUGCAUUCCUGAUGGUGGGAAUGCAGCUCCUGGUGAUCGUCUUUCUGAGGUGACAGUGAUGCUCAGAGCCAAGUUCCGUAGUUACCUUCAGGCUGUGGUCGAAAAGCUUGUAGAAAAUGUGAGUUUCCCUUAACUCUUUUAUUUCCUAGCUAUUCCUAUGUUAUAGGGCUGGAAUCUUAUAAAAGAAAUAAGCUGAUCAAAAUAUGUAGUCAACAGCAAAAGUAAGAAUGAUUUGUAGUGCAUUCCUAUUGCCAUUUCUGCUGUUUUGGUGUUUCUUGUGUAACGUUUGUCCAUGUUUUGUUAUCUUGUUGGGUUUAGCAUGUUUUGAGACCUUCCCCUUCAUUAUAUGCUUGUGUUGUAAUCGGUUAUUUUGUUUAUUUUCAGAGCAAGCUACAAAAGACGACAAUGUUGAAGAAGAUUCUUCAGGACUCUAAAGAAAGUGUUGGAGAAUCAGACAUCAGAAGCAAAAUGAAUAACCUCAAGGAGCAGCUCACCAACACAGUGAAUCAUCUACACUCGGUUUGUGAGACGCAUGUCUUCAUCGCAUUGUCUCGAGGAUAUUGGGAUCGUAUGGGGCAGGUAACUAUUUUUAAUGGCCUCUCCUGUCCUGACUUUUUGUUUUGCGGUGUUGGAGAGCUAAUUAUUCUCGUGUGCUGUGAUAGAUCGUUUUAAGCUUUUUGGAGAACAGGAAAGAGAAUAGAGCUUGGUACAAGGGUUCUAGAGUUGCUGUCUCGGUAAGUCCCAAUAAAAAACUGCUCUUACUUAGAUUGUAUGAGUCACCUGAUCUUACAUGGAAUGAUGCGUAUUUUCAGAUAUUAGACGAUACAUUUGCAGCACAGAUGCAACAGCUGCUUGGCAACUCGUUAAGAGAGCAAGACCUGGAGCCUCCUAGAUCGAUCAUGGAGGUUCGGUCGAUUCUUUGCAAGGACACUGCAGAUAAUAAAGCCAAGUCGUUCUACUACUGAGCAUCUUAACAGCUAAAAAUGCUUGAAAGAUUUCAGAUCUCAUUUGCUCGUCUGCUUGAAGCUGCAAGUAUUUUUACUGGGUGGAGCAAAUCGACGAAACCUUGAGAAAGCUUUAGAUGUAUAAUAAAGUACAAUGGUUACCACAUCUUUCUUUAGUGCUAAUGAAUGUCAAUAUAUUACAACAAGACUGGCAUCACAUUUGAUACGAAUUGUGAUAAGAGUAACAACACGUGGAAGUCAAAGUUUACUACAAAACUCUUUAUUAAAUUUAACGUGACAGAGUAUUAACUUCAUCUGAUAAAUCUUUGGCAAAGCUGAUAAGAAUAGAUCUCUCUCAAAGCUGAUAAAUCGUUUGUUACUUGAUGUUUGAACUGAACAAUUACAUAUGAAGCAUUUACGCUCUCAAUAGGGUGUAUCGAUCAAACGGAAACCUUGCAAUGUAGAGACGUUUUAUUCUCCUUGAUAAAGUCGAGAUUUUCAUGUCCCACUAGAACCUUCUCUAUAACAAGAUAAUAUCCUGCGUCAGCAGUUCUCAGAUCGCUUCAAUGUUGGUUAUCACGUCGUCUACCUGAUCAACCUUAACAGGGGUGUUUUCACCAACCUACAAGAGAGAGACUGCAAAGACUGGAUAACAUUUUUUGUAUCUUCAUUGCAAAGUUAGAGUGUUCUCAAAACUGGUGAAGUUAGUGUAUCUUUUGAUGUAUCUAUCUCCAGAGUUACCGAUCGAAGCUUUUGAUGGUGGAAAACUGGUGAAAAGCGGUCUAGACGGUCGCCUAGGCCCCACUUAGGGCUAGACGCUCAGGUGAUGCCUAGACGACCGUUUCGGCCGCCCAAAAUUGCAUAAGUUUUGGUUCAGUAUAGUAAUAUCUAGUGGUAAUUAUAAGUAUAUCAUAUGUUUUCAAAAACAUCAAAAUUAACUUAAAAAUUGCUAAAUUAACUACAACUAUCAUAAUUAUUAAAAAAAUAAACAAAAAUGAAGAAACUAUAUUGACAAAAAAAUCAAGUAAAAAUAAGCAAAACAUAACCAAAAACUUCAAUUUUUUGUAAUAUAUUAUUAGAUAAGAAUUACAUAUUAAAUAAAUAUAUUUUAUAUAAUUAAUUGGAUGCUCAUAACUUAAUUGACAUGUAAAUUUGUUUGUGUCUAAAACUUUCAUUUUUAUAUCAACCACUUUGAUAAAUGGAACAUUCUUUAAAUAUAUAUAUAUAUAUUUAGAAUUACUAAUUUGAAUAAUUUCUUUACAAAAAUAUUUUUACAAUAUUAGUUAUCAAUUGUGUAUAAUUUCCUCAACUAUAUCUAUACUAUUAAUUGGGAAGCAUUGGAUAAUAAAUAACCUUAUGAAGUGUAAAGAAUUACAAAAAAUGCCAUUGGGAUAAUUACAAUCAAAGAGUAAAUGAAAAAAAAUCGUUGAAGGGCAAAAUCAUAAUUUAAAAGCAAAAUACCCAUGGAUCUUGGGCGAGUGGAUCGGAUAAACACGCGGAUUCUGGGCUUAUUUGGCGGAUCGACACGCGGAUCAUGGACCCGACCCGGACUGUUGGAAUAUGGCAUUUUGGGACAAUCAAGCGGAUCCUGUGAGUCUGUGACAAUCAAUUUUGGUUAAGAUUUGGCAAUGUUGUUAUUAGAUAUUUCUUGCAAUAUACUAAAAAUUAUUUCGAAACCAAAAAUGACAUAUAUCAUUUAAGAUAUACCCAAAACAAACGUAUCCCUUUAAUUUCGAAUAUAAAAUAAGGAUAGAUAGUAAACGUAACAAGAUUUAGUUUCAAAAAUCUCCAAAUUUGAUGGUUGUUUUCGAUAUGAUACGAAUUCGGAUAAUAUAUUUACCAAAAAAAAACAACAACUAAAUAUUCAUAACCUAAAUAAUCAAGUAUAUACCUUAAAUCUUUGUACAAAACGUUUUGAUUAAUUAUGAAGAGGAAGAAGAUUUUUUAUGGUGUCUAUUGGAAAUUGAUUUUCUGCUUAAUACUGCAUAAGAGAAGAGAAAACGUCUAGAAAGUCCCUAUCUCUCAAACGAAAAGCUCAAAAAGUGAAGGUGAAGAGAGUGAGAAGAAGAAGAUGGCUAAUACCAUCAUGAUUAAGCAAGAAGAAGAAGAAAAGAAGUGUUCGAUGAAGAAGAGGAGCUACGGGGAGAGAAAACGUGUUGUUAGCCCCUUAACAAGAAAAAGGUUUUUGGGCCAAUAUGCAAAAUAGGCCCAACAUAAAUAUACAUAAAAAUAUACUCCGUUUCGGUUUAGUUGUCGUUUUAGCAUUUAAAUUUUGUUUCAUAAUAGUUGUCGUUUUAGGUUUUCAAUGCAAAUGUUUGGUGAAAAUUCCAGUUUUAUCCCUACUGUUUUAAUGUUUUGGCCAAUGAAUUUUUUUAUAAAAUAUAUUAAUAAAGGGUAAAACAAAAAAUUUAAUGCUUUUCUUAAUUUGUAUGAAAAAACCUUAAACGACAACUAAAACGAAACGGAGGGAGUAUUAAAAAAAACAAAAAAAAAACAUAAAACUAUACAAUAUAUAUUUCCAUUUCCAAAAGUAUAAAAUUACAGACUUAGGAUUUAUCUUUUACUAUAAGAUAUAUUUAUAAAAUUUUAGUAAUAUUAUAAAACACAAAUAAAACAUUUACGGGUCGUGUAGUAAAAUGAGAAACAUAUCGAAUAACGAGAUAAGUAUUACAAAAUAUAAAUACUCGAUACUCGACCCUUAUCUAACGGCCACAAGUAAUAGAAUCACAAUAUCUUUUACCCGACCCUAAGAUCACGACUACCCUUUUCUUGAGACGGGUACAAAUCGGGCAACAGAUUGAAUACAUGUAACGGGUAUCUAGCCUUAAAUGCUAUAUACGUAUAAAAAUUCAAAUACAAAUAAAACUCCGCACGUAUGUGCGGGUCCGGAUCUAGUAAGUAUACUAAAUAAGGACCCAUCCGAUGGACAGGUUUAUUUUUUUUAAAAUUAAAAUCAAAUUUAACAAAAAAUUAAUUAACAACGUUGUAAGUAGAAUUUUUUUUUCAAAAGUAAAAACAAUAUUUACUUUUUCAUUGUGGCAUUGUUUCUUUAACCACUAAAAUUAUUAAUUCAAAAUUAUUUCGAAUGAAAGAUAUAUCACAUAACAAUAAUUUAUGGUAUACUUAUAUGAAGAACAAAAUUAAAAAGUAUUCAUCAUAAAGCUGGUGAAUAAAACCAAAGUGGUGUUUAAUUAGACACGUUAAAAAUAUAAAGAUGAUAAAUUGACUAAAUUCUUUAGCCUUCCAAGCUAACGUUGCGGGUUCGAUUCCUAUAUAGUCGAUUGCAAUAACUUUAUGAUCAAUCAAUAAAAAUUGAUAAAUUCAAAAAAUUAUAAGCACGAUGAUAUAUGGAUUUUAUAUAAUUCAAAUAUGAACAUAGAAAUUUAAAUAAACAAUUUUGAAAUAGUAUAAUUAAAUUCAAAAUAUCAAAAACAAAAUAGAAGCAUAUAUGUUUCUUACAUAUUCAAGAAUUUUAAAUAAAACAAUAUAAAACUUUACUUAAAAUCAUUACAUAUUUCUAGUUAGAAAAUAAUAUUGAUAUAAAUAAUGUAAAUUUGUAAUUUAAAUCAUGACACAUGUCGCUAUCUUAAAUCAUUAAACUAUGAUAUAUUAUAAAUUUUAUAUAAUUUAAACUGAAUGUAGAAACCAAAAUAAAUAAUUUAAAUAUCAACAGUUAAACUAAAAAUAAAAAAAUUAUAAACACGAUGAUAUAUGAAUCUUUGAUAAUUUAAAGGGAGACUCACAAAAAUGCCCCUUUUUCAAUACCCCUUUUCAAAAAUGCCUCCUUUGGAUGUCCAUUUUUAAAAAUACCCUUUUUAUGUACAAAAUGACUAAAUUACCCUUCUUUUAAUAAAAGAUAUCAUAAAUAUAUAAGGAAAUAUAACAAAAUUAGGUCCACAAAAUACAAAAUAUUUUUUGGCGGGAAAAGUGAUCCCCCAAUUUUUCCCGCCAAAACACUUGUAAAAAUUUGUAAAACCUUUAAAAUACCUUGUAAAAUUUUCCCGUAAAAUUUUUUUCCGCCAAAAAAUUUUUUUUGCGGGAAAAGUGAUUCCGCAAAUUUUUUGGCGUUAAAUUUUUGGCGGGAAAAUUUUUGGCGGGAAAAAUUUACAAGGUAUUUUAAAGGGUUUUUACAGGGUAUUUAUAAGGUUUUACAAUGUAUUUUAAAAGGUUUUACAACGUAUUUAUAAAGUAUUUAUAAGAUUUUACAAACUAUUUUAUAAGGUUUUAAAGGUUUUACAAGUUUUUUAUAAGGUUUUACAAGUUAUAAAUACCUUAUAAAACCUUAUAAGUACCUUGUAAAACCUUUUAAAAUACAUUGUAAAACCUUACAAAACACUUGUAAAUACUCCGUAAAACCUUUAAAAUACCUUGUAAUUUUUUCCCGCCAAAAAAUUUUCGGCAAAAAAAUUGCGGAAUCACUUUUCCCGCAAAAAAUAUUUUUGGCGGGAAAAUUUUUUCGCGGGAAAAAUUUUUACGGGAAAAUUUUACAAGGUAUUUUAAAGGUUUUUACAAGUGUUUUGGCGGGAAAAUUGCGGGAUCACUUUUCCCGCCAAAAAAUAUUUUGUAUUUUGUGGACCUAAUUUUGUUUCAAAUAAGGGUAAAAUGGUCACUAAAAAUUAAAAGAGGGCAAACUUAAAAAUGGACUCUAAAAAAGGGCAUUUUUGAAAAGGGGUAUUGAAAAAGGGGCAUUUUUAACAAUUUCUCUAAUUUAAAUAUGAAAAGAGAAAUUGAAAUAAAUAAUAUAACUAUACUACAAUCACAAUUUAGGACAAACAAAAAAAACAGUUAAGUAAAAGAAUUUACAAAAAGGAAAAAAAUUGAUCUCACAUAUUUCUAAUUGAAAAAAUAAACUCAAAUAAAUAAUAUGAGGAUUAGUUUAAUUAAAUCAUCACAUAUUUCUAAUUGGAAAAGAAAUUGAGAUAAAUAAUAUCAAGUUUUAAAUGAAUAUAUAAAUAACAUAUGUUUCAAUUUUAAUAAAUUUGCCUGAUUUUUUAAUUGUUUAAUUGAAAUAUAAAAAAUGGAUAAUUUCCUUAUUAUUUUCUUUUGAUAUUUUUUAAAUUUUUUUUAUAGAAAUAUGAAUUAUUUACAAUUAUUCUUAUAAUUAUCUUUUACGUUUUUAAAAUUAUUUAAAUUUGUAAUUACUUUCAAUUAUCUUUUUUUUUAAAGGAAAUUUUUGUUUUACACGUGUCAAAUCUAAGAUCGAUAGAUUUGCCACGUGUCACGAUCAUAUGAGUUAUUAACUUUGCCAUACUUUAUAUAAUAAGAUAUGUUUUAAAACAUAAUUGUUUUUCUUGCACGUUAUAAUAAUCUUUUUACGAAAUUAGAAAUUAAUUGUAUAAUUUGUUUGGUUAUAGAAAUAUAUAUUUCUUUGUCGAAAAUAAUCCUUUUUAGAAUUAGUAAUCUAUUGAAUGAUUUCCUUAUAAUAUGUUUACACAUGACAAACCCCCAUGUCACCGCCCGCUUAGCGUCUAGCGCUUUCUUGAACAUUUAUCAGAUUGCAACCAAUCCUUGCUAUUUAUAAUUCUUUCAAAGUGUAUGAGCUUAUCACACUGACUUCAUAACAUGCUGCCAUAUCAAAUUAAGAUCAAAUCAAUCACUAAAAUUGCAUGUUGAGAAUACAAUGGAAAAGAGAGGAGCAUAACACACACAGAGAGAAGACUAGAAGAGGCAACAAAUGACAUUUGUACAGAGAUAAUUUAAUUGAUAUAAAACAUUGCCAAGGCUUUUUGUAGACUUAUAUGAUCAUCAUGUGAGAUUUGUUCAGACAAGCUUUGAUAUAGCCUGGCACGACAUCCAGAAUGCUUUGGAUGCAAUACUCAGUAUCAUCGGGUUUUGAUAUAUCCUGUUGCCAAAAGAAUUAAAAGGAAAAUUAGAUUAGCGAGACAAUGCGAAACAUUCAGUACAUACAAAAUAAAGAUUCGAUGUGUUAAAGAGGAUGUUUUUGCGUGAUAUACCCUAUCGCGGUUGCGCUCCAUGAUGCAACGUUGUAAAUAACUUUACUUCCCUCCCAUGCCUUGCGAAGCUUCCCCUUCCUCUUCUUCACUGAAAACAUCGUGCUAAGUGCUACAUCACAGUUCAUAAGCAAACUCUUAGUAUCCAUUAGACUUAAAAGCCACCCUUCAUACGCAAACUCUUAGUAUUUGCUAGAUAUAAAAGUCACCCUAAGUUGGUUUGUCAAGUAUUUUGUUGAUUUGGGGCCUUAGGGAAGACAGAGUUUUGGGGUUCUCUAUAACAAAAACCAAGGCUACUAUCUAAACUUGAGGGAGAGUAUUAAAGCUGAAAUCUUUUCUAAUUAUAACACAUGGAAGUUGAAGAUUUACCUUUCUGAAGCUGAUCAGGUGAUAUAUCCUACACAAAGAUAGCACUCAGAAUAAGUUCCACAUGAAAAGUCGAUGAGACAUAAAACGAGUAAGGACAAGAUACGCGUUACAUAUAUACCUUUGUCUGCUUAAGGGAUGAUAAAUAUGUAGCCAUGAAACAAGCAAUACCGUCUGCUAUAUCUUCUUCUCUAACAACCACAUAAUCAUCUUCCAUUUGACCCAUACAUUCCUCAUCCCAUAAAUCAUCUUCACUAACUACGUCCCAAGAGCUACUAUCUUCUGCAAAUUCAACAGCUUAUAUAGUUAGUUAUCUCUACAACCAAAUUACACAUACAUUGGCAAUCAAAUUGGGUAAAUAAACAAAGCUGAAACAUCUUACCAGCAAGAUCUUGGGGAACUGAAACUUGAGCUAAUUCUAUCUUUUCACGAAAGUCAUGACAUUCAACUCUAGAUUUGAUGAGAUCAUAAAACUGCACAAGAAAAACAAAAUCAUGAAAUCGAGUCACAAAGCUUCUAUGAGCUAUCCUCAAUCACAAUCCUACGAAGCAGAGAGAUUAAGGUAAUUACUUUAUCAGCUUCAGGAUCUCCUGGAUCGGAAGAAGACGACUCUUCCCUGUCCGAUUCCUCCUCCUCCUCCUCCUCCGGUGAUUCACUCUGUUCGCCACCGUUUUCAUCGCCGGGAAGUUCUAGCAGCUGAAGAGCUCUCUGGCAAUCCUCGAGCAGAUUCUGCAACGUCUUCCGCUUGACACGGAUACAAUCCAAAUCGAUGCGGUUUCCUUUGUUGUCGGCAUCAUGAGUCGAGCAAGAGACUUCGAUUUCCAUGGAAUCGGAAAGUUUUGCUGAAAUUUGUGAAAGAGAAGAAGAUGAAUUGAUUGUUCUCCUCCACAAUUUUCCAACUUGCGACCUAUUUGUUUGUUUUAUUUCCACCGGAAAAAGGGAAAAGAGAGUCGUGACGAGUAAGACAACAAGCAACUAAAUAUUGCUGAAAUUAGAAUCUAUUGAAUCUUACGGAGAAAAAUUGCUUUAUAUAUAUCUUAAAGAAAUUUAAUAUAUUUUUUAUCGUCUGAGUAUUUGAUUUUUUUAAAAUAUAUAUUAAAAUAGAUUAUUGAUUUAAAACUUUAAACCCACCCAGCAGCAAAUCAUACUUAACCACCAUAAAAACCAUAAUCAAAAUCAACAUUCAAUCAGAAAGCAAUUGAUUACUUAUUAAAAUCUCGAUUAGUACCAAAGACAUAUACUCAUAGUUUGUCUUUAACCCGCGGUACACCGCGGGUCUAUAUUUUUAUUAGAAAAAUUUAUUAAAUUUUGUUUUAAGAUACUCUAUAGAUAUAUACUAUUUUUUUGUUUAAUUUAAAUGUAUAAUACACCGUGAGACAAAAUUUUAUCACAAAAAUUGAAAUUUUAUAGAUAGACGUAGUAUAAAAACAAUAGAUUCAAUUAUAUGAUUUUGAAUAAGAUGCUGAUUUAACCCGUCUUAUACUGAUUUUACCAGCGGUAUACCGUAUGCUAAAUUUUAAAUAAUAAAAUGAGGAUUUAAUAUGUGUUAUAGCGAUAUAUUAGUGAUAUUUUAAUUUUAUAUUAAUAUCAAUCCUAACCAAACCUGUGUCAUACAAUUCGUCCCGUAAUAUUUAAAACUAUUUUAUAAAAACUCAAAAACCAUAGCUAAAUGGGCAAACAAAAGCCAAAAAAUUUAAAUAUAUCAAUUAGAAAUUUUUGAAUUUAAUUAGAAAAGAUUGCUCCAUAAUUUUAAAUCUUACGUAUUUAAUGUAUUUAUGAAGAUUUGAUAUUUGAAUUUAUUUGAGAACAUUACUUAUUUUUAGCAAUUUCAGAAAAAGACAUGGGUUAAAGCUUGAACUGAUCCGAUAAUUAAGGUCUGAAUUAAUAGUUUUGCACCGGCCUUGUUAUUUUAUUUGUAUUUUCUAAUUAUUUUAUCACUAUUCAAACCUUAAUGAUCCAUGUGAUUAACACUAACCUAUUAUUGUUAUAUAAUCACAAAUAUUAAAAAUAAUAUGUUUAGAACUGCCAUGAAAAAAAAAUUAAGUAUGCAACUUUCAUUAGUUCACAUAAUGAAAAAAUAAACACAUAGAGUAUUAGAACCCAAUAACAAAGAAUCAUGUCUACCAAUUUUGUAAAGACCUACAUAGCCCAAAUUGUGUUUAUUCAACUCUCUCAUAUACCCAAAAUGAAAAACUUAGAAACGGAAAGUUCAAACUCAAUCAUCGGUGGUUUAGCAGAUGAAGUCACCGUCGUUAACGGUCACAGUAACGGCUCCGUCGAUCUGAGCCUUAUUUCUUCAAAGCUACAGCAAAACGCAUGGAUCUACUCUCCGUGUAGCGUAUCAAGGAGUUCUCGGCGUGUAUUUUGAAGCUACCACCGGAAAAGCAUAUCCGAAAUCUGAAGAUAUUCGGUGUGAUCAAUUCGAUGUUGCGUUUCAGGCGGUGGAGCUUUGGAUCGCCGAUCGUCUUGUUUUGCCAAUCGAAACCUAAAGAAUUACGAUCUCCUCCUCGUCACCAUCUUCACAUCGUCGGCGAGGUUUAGAUCCCGGUUCACCACUGUCUCCUAGCUCUUCCCGGAGUCCGUACAGAUUGCAUCACGUCUGCGAUUUCUUAUUUUCUGUAAAACUGGUGAGUUUUUAUUAGACUAAUGAAAGGUAUUUAUAAUGUUUUGAGAAUACUAUAGGGUUUUGGGUGAGUGAGCUCCUAAAAUCUUGCUGAUCAAGUAACAAUAUCUUCAAAAUCUUUUAUUUUUGGAAUUGAGUAAUUUUCUUGCAAAUCUCGAAAAAAAAAAAAGAAAUAUAGGAAAGAUAAUUAUGAGUAAUUAGUUGGGAUGACAGCCAAUGGUAGAGAUUUUAGAAGGAAAGCGAGAGAUUUUUGGCAACAAUUUUUGAACGUAACAUCUUUGAUUUAGGAGAGAUUUUUGGAAUAUGCUUAUACCGAAAUAUAUGUGUAAUUAUCUACAUUAAUGACGAUUUUUUUUAGAUUUCCUUAAAUGUCUUAUCCAAGAUCCGGAUAUAGUAAAACCGAGUAAAACCCGGAUCCAAAUUAUUAAAAGCAAAAACCCCCUGCAAAAAUAUAUAUAUAGAUUGUUAUUUUGAUUUUAAAUUUAUUGCAAUUUAAAUGGGCAAUUGCCUAUAUUUAAUCUGUUAUUGUAAAAGAAAAAUGACAUAGCUUAUUAUUAGAAUAUUAAACAAAUUUAUUAACAUAAUAUAUAUAUAUAUAUAUAUAUAUAUAUAUACUGUUAAAAAAAUAAAUACGUUAUAUUGUUAAAAUCUGGACAUUUAUUAUGAACAUAAAUAUGAAAACGAUUUUCCAUUAAAAUCGGCUAUUUAUUAGGGUCAUUAAUAUGAAAGAUAUUAAGACAACAUGGCUUCAUUUAUUAGUUUGAAAUUAAGACAACAUCCCUUAAAUUGCUAAUCCAAGAUCCGAAUAGACUAAAACCCGGGUCAAACCCGAAUCCAAAAGAAUUAAAGCAAAAAAGUACUAUAAAAAUGUAUAUGUAGAUUCUCCGUAAGUAUAUUAAUCAGUAGCAGUUGAUAAAGUCCUUAAAACUUGUUGAAGCUCCGAAAAAAAUUUAACAGUUACCAAAAAGACUUGUUUAUGCUAAUUAACACCAUCAUUGUAAGUCUUAUGCUAAUCUCUUACCAGUGUUCAAGAAAGCGCUAGGCGCUAAGCGGGCGGUGAUCCAAUGCCUAGCGCCUAGAACGCCUAAUCGGGGCUUAGGCGAUUUUUUAGGCGGUUUAGACGUUUAUAACAUAAAAUAUUAUAAAUAUGAUAUUAUAUAUAAAAGUUAUAUAAAAUAUCUAUAUAAAACUAAAAAUUAUGAAAUUAUAAACAAAAAUUAGAUAAAACAUUUAUUUAUAUUUAUAUUAAACAAUAUAUGAAUAUUUAUAACUAUAUAUAUAAAUAAAACUCUAAUUAAAAUUGAAAAAAUACAUUAAACAAGAUCUGUGUAAUUUUAGGCGGUCAAGGCGGUUAUCUAGGCGUCGCAUAAGAGCCUAGCGCCUAGUCGGGGCCUAGGCGACCGCCUAGACCGCUUUUUAGAACACUGUCUCUUACUAAUAAAAGGGGCUAAUUGAGGCCUCUUAGGCCAUCCACAUCAGCUAUUCCAAAAACUUCUCUUAAGAUGCCACAUCAGCUCUCUCAUCUAUUAACUUCUAUUAAAAUGUCACUUACCUUAAACAUAAUUUUUGAAACGUAUCUGCAUUCAUCACGCCCCUUUCUAAAAUUUAACCUAAACGUAUCGUCUUCCCCUCUUUCCAUCCACAGUUUUGGGUUUUCUCCAUUGUUCUACAUGUAUGAUUGUCUAUUUCUUUAGUUUAAAUGUGAUACGAUUCUGAUCAAUCAUGUUAUUUUCUCAUUGAGAGGCAAUAAUCCAAUCGAUGAGUUCAGGGUAUGGUGGUAGAGCAGGAGAAGGGAUCACAAACAACUCCAAGAAAAACAAACUCAACGGCGACGAGAAGAAAGAGGAUAGAUUGCUAAAGCCGGUGGAGACUGGCAUCGGAGAUUUCAGAAUUGUUUCACACAUUUUUAAACAAAUCUAUGCCAUCUUUGUUGAUUUUUCAUAUGAAUUUACUGAAGAUCACGAUUCAUGACCAUAUCUCAUUCCUAAUUAUCACUUUUCUACACCACAUUUCAUGUUGCUUGCGUUUUGGACUUAAAUCUCUUUGAUGUUCUGUUUUAAUUAGAGAAAAUUUUAAGAUGCUUCCCAUGUCUAUGAUUUAGAUGUUACAAUUUCAUCACACAAUUGUGAACAGAAAAUAUUUUGUUUGAAAUUAACCUGAACCAAUGUUAGUGUCUCUUCAGGUUAGUAAAAAGAUCAUAUCUUGGUGGUUUAUCUUUGUUUUCUACAUUUUCCAUUCAGUAUCAGAGGUAUGAUGUCGGUGCAACAAUAAAACCAGAGAGUUUUCAAUAGACAAGCUCAAAAGGUUGAUGAGACAAACUAUGCUUUUGGGAACUGUUAUGAGAUCAAAUGCAAGACAAAGGAACAAGAGUAUCAAGAAAAUGAUCAAAGAGUUUCUUACAUCAAAGAAAAUUUUAGUUAUCGAUUAGGAAUGGUGGUGAAAGAUAACAGAGUGUGUGUCAAGACAAUGGUCUUCUCAAUCUAAGCUAAAGUUCGUAAUCGCAAGGUAUGAAAUAUUCUAUUCUUCAAUUUUUAAUCUAAAAGCUUUUGUGGUAUUUAACAGUGGAAUUAUUUCCCCUAAAGUCUGGUGACUCCAUUUCUCAGAAUUAUGACGAUGUCGACUCAAUUUCAGACAUCUCAACUUUGAAGGUAAUCAGCUCACAGAACAAUAGAUAGCACGAGAAUUUAUAUACCAAAACACAAUUAUAUUCAAAGUUAUGAUUACGGACUGUAAGAACAAAAUGACCAGAGAUACGCAUCAGACUUGGUUCAACUUUGUAUAACAACAUAGUGAAACCUAUUCUCUAAUAUACUACGUGUGCUCAUAAUUCCACAAUAAAAAGUACUCAUAAAACAUUAAAGGAAAAACAAAAUAAGGGAGAAAAUAACGAAAUUGUACUAUAUCAAAUACCAAAGAAGCAGUAAUAAGUAGCUAACAAGAGCUUAUGCAAUAAUUACAUAAUACUUUGUAACAAGAUCAUGCAAAACAUGAAACUAAGUCUAUGUAGCACUAUAACGUAAAUCCACCGGGCGUAGCCCGGAUUCACCCCUAGUUAGCAUAAACGUUGUACAUGAAGUUAUGUGUCAUUGCAAUUAAGUUAACUUUGCCAAGCAGUGUUGGCCCAAAGUUGUGGACUGUCAAAAGCAACCCAUCAGUAUUUAAAAGAAUUAGUAUAAACUGAUGUGAGAGAAUUUGAAUACACAAUCUUCUUAGCCGAUUUACUAUGACAUAAACUGCUACAGUAUAAAGAGUUUUCAUAAUUAUAAUGCCCCCUAACAUGGUAAUACAUUUGUGAUGCUUAAAGCUCUUGCUUGUUGGGUUUCAUCCCAGAUUCAAGCACAUCAAUCUAAUUUUAAAAGAAGUCGUUUUAAGCUGUCCCUGAAAUAGUUAAACCGAGAAUAAAGAGCCAUACCUUUCGUUUAUCAUAUAUGAAUGUGAAAGUCCAAUUGUAGAAAUUUCGAACGAGCCAUUAUCAUGACUCUUUUAAUUUUUCACAGUAGUCUAUGGUAAAUCUUAUUACAUGCAACAUUACCAACAGGUAACAGAAUUCAUCCCUUAAAUUUCCACCUAAACAAAUAUUAUCUAGACUAAUUAUAGGUCGACAACUUUUAUUUCAUGUAUGUAUUCUGUAUAGGGCUUCAAAGAAAAUGUAAAAUUCUCAUGACCAUCUUUAAGAACAGUCUAAAUUUGUGUCAUUUGAUGUUUGUUAGUUUGCAACAAGGAUCAAAUUCUCACCAUCUUCCAGAAUGGUCCAAAUUUAUGUCAUUCGAUUAUUGUUAAUUAGUUUGCAACAACUCGUCUACAUAGUCUCACAGUUUCAUAAUUCAUCGCUUCUAAGGCUAUAUAUAUCAUUACACCAAAAAAAAAAAAAAAAAAAAAAAAAGCUAUAUAUAUCACUGUUGGAAAGCAGUAACUAAACUAAUCUAACUGAACAGUACUAUUAAUUACAUAUGACUAGUCCUACUGCUGAGGUCGCAUGCACACACAAACCGCACUGCUAAGUGUUGCGCUCGGACAUCCAACAAACAAGAUCGAUGUUAUAUCCAAAAUCUAGAUUUCAUAAGUUAAUGAAUUACUCCCUCCGUUUUCGAAUAGUUGUCGUUUUAGAGUUUUUUUUUUGUUUUAAAUUAGUUGUCGUUUUAAGGUAAUAAUGUAAUUUAUGCCAAUAACUACCCAAAUUACCCUCAUUUUAUUGAACAUAAAUUAUUUGUAAAUAAUUACUUGUCAUUUUUACGAGGUUAAUAUAAUCAUUGUAUACCUUUUCUUAAUUUAUCCAAAUACAGUUAAAACGAUAAUUUAAAAAAAACAAUACAUAGUAAUUGAAAUGAAGAAGAAGAGGGUCUCUAGGAACGAGAUGAAUAUUCAAUUACAACCAUGACCAUCAAACAAAAAAAAUCAAAAUUAAUCGAAAAGCCGACCAAUGAACGAAUCCCCAUGCACGCAGCAGCAUUAUCCAAAUAAAGAUAAACAAAUGGAUCACGUAGAUUUAUUAAAGAAAUCAAACCAAUAGAUGCAUAAGCAAAACAAACCAGACAAAAAAAAAAAAAAAGAGAGAGUGGUGGAGGGUCGUGCUUGGCACGAUUCAGUAUAUUACUGAGAGGUCAGAGGGUCAAAUCAAUGCAAGGUGUACUAAGGUUGUCAUUUCCAUUUACCAUUUUAUAUUACAAAGAGAAGAGAGGUUCUUAUUUAUCUAAUAUUCCAAAAUUAAUGAUGUCUUAAAAAAAAUGUAGCCAAGACUAUAAACAUAGUAAGUAGCAUAUAAUCCAUAUAUAAACUAUAGAGUAGAGAGUAAUUAAGAGUGUUAAUAUAAGAAUGUUAGAGAAAGAAUGGUUGGGAAAGAGAGAAGAGGUCAAAAAAAAAAAAGAGUAAAGAGGGAAAAUUUCCCUCCAAGAAGGGAGGGGAUGAUGAUGAUGACGUACGUGUACAACUGCCAAAAUAAAAGCAGGAUUCCUCUCUUUUCGUCCAUUUUUUUCGCUCCUCCUCAAACACCGUUGAACUCAUCAAUCUAAUCUCUCACCAUUUCUCUAUUCUCACCCUAAAAAAAACAACCAAAAUCGGUAAAUUUUUUUUUUUUUUAAUUAAUAUUUACUAAUUAUCAUCAUCAUCGUCCCCUAGAUCAAAUCAAAUCGAGGUUUGUUUCUCGAAAUUCAUGCAUCGUCAGAUCAAUCAAUUAAUCCGAUUGCGUUUUCCUCCUCAAAUUUGAUCGGACAUUCUUCUUCUCUUUUUAAUUGUUUCCUGGGUUUUUUUAUUUAUAGUGCUGCACGUCAAUGGCGUGAACCGCGGUCAUGGCUAACAAAAACGCAGAAUCAUCUUCACAGCCUCCUCCUCCUCCUCCUCAGGUGCAGCCAAAUCAACAACAGCAGCAACCGAUUGCUAAUGAACAAGAGCAGGAGCCUCAUGUACAUCUCGUCUCUCUCUCUUUUCCGAUAUUGGCUCAAAAUUUUAUCCUUGGGGAUCUUAAUUAAAUUUUAUGUUUGUUAUUCUUCCGAUUUCAGGGUGACACCUGUAGCAUUCCUCCUGCGCAGUCUGGAAACACAGACUCGCGUUCCCGUGCUGGCAACACGGUAAUUUCUUAUGAGAGAUUUAUUUUGUUUUUGAUCGAGUAAUGGAACCCGAAGGAGGUGAAAUGCUUGUUCAGAAUCCCAUUUUUGAUCGUGUUUAUUUGCGUAUUUGGUGUAAAUGACCUGCGUUCUCUGUCUUCUCCAUUGGUCAUUGUUGCGCAAUGAUGAGCAUUCAUAUAGUCAUUAGGCAUGUGCUGCUUUUCUUAUGAGAGCAAAUUACACUCCUAUCGCAGAGGAUCCGUAUAUGCUCGAAUGGGAUUGGAUUACGUCAUUGACUUAUGCUUGCUUUGAAUGAAACACACAACAUUUUAGUUUUUGUUUUCAUACACAAAGCAGCCAGUAUCUUCUCCCUCUGUUUCCGUUAAAAUUUGCAAAGCAUGUUUUUUAAAAAAUUUGUUGCUUCUUUUCAUUGAAAAUGCAAUUUCAAAUCAUGUAAAUGCAAAUACAAAUAAACAGUGAAUUUGUUUGUGCUGUUGAUUUCAUGAUAGAUAUCUCAUGGAAUUUGUUUUUGUCUGACUUUAACUACCUACUUUGUAGGUUUUCAAGAGUGGACCGCUAUCUAUAUCUUCAAAAGGUAUGUUUUAUUUCUUAAGAUGAUAUGAUAUACUUAGUUCAGCGUACCUUUCUUAGGAUCAUGAGAGUUGUUCUUAGGAUGGGAUGUUUUCUUAUUUCUGACUGGGGAAAACUGUUACUGGUAGACAGUAAGGACAUAUAUCACGUGACGUGGGUUUUGUAGGCGGGUUGAACCCAAAUAGUGAUACAACUGCAGCACUAGCACAAAUCACUAGGCUACAUGUCCUGGUCAGUGCCUAUAUCUUAGAAUUGUCUCUCACCACUUUCUAUUUCGUUUAAUACAGGGAUUGGGUGGACAUCAUGGAAGAAAAGAUGGUUUAUUUUGACUCGUACUUCACUGGUUUUCUUUCGAAGUGACCCGGUAAGCCUUCAUUUAUUGAUGAAUGGUGCUUUGAAAUGUUACUUUCUUGUGUGCUUCCUAGAGCAGUAAUGAGUCUACGAUUUGUUUCUCUGGGAAUAUGAGAUUGCCAUCCAACACUUUCUUUUAUCUUUUUUAAAAGAAAACUUGAUUCACAUGGGCACUAGAAUAGGGUUCCAAGGUACAAUUGCAAGAAAUCUUUACUGGAUAAUGGAGGAUGUAAAUAGUGUCAGCUGCUUCUGUCAACUUCUGACAUCUCUAGCCAUUGGAUUUCUAGCUUACAUUAUUUAUAUCAGUGAAAAAGUACGAGAUACUUAAAUGAAUAGCACGUUUUUCUUAUAAGAGAUUGGUGAAACCCUAUAUCAGAUAUAUUUUUUAUAAGGCAUGAACCUGUUAUAACAGAGGAUGGGUAUCUCAAACUUUUCUGUUUUAUUCUCAGAGUGCAGUCCAACAGAAGGGUAGUGAGGUCAAUUUGACCCUUGGGGGAAUUGAUCUUAACAAUUCAGGCAGGUUGGCUUAUUGUUUGAAUCAUUAAAAUCUUUUUCUUUAUAGUCUUUAGCCGCCAACAUACUAUGUUAUUAUCUGAUUCGGUGUUACUAACGUCAGAUAACUUCGAACUAUUUUUAGUGUGGUUGUUAAGGCAGACAAGAAGCUGUUGACUGUUCUCUUCCCCGAUGGUCGUGAUGGACGGGCCUUUACACUCAAGGUUUUUCUCAAAAAUUUAGUUUUCUGUUGUUAGUGUACUUAAUCUUGUUUUUAUCAGGUGCAUCCACCUCAUCCUGCAUCUUAAUUUACGCUCUGAACAUUUCUUAUGAUUUUAUGACUUAAUUUUUUUGCAGGCUGACACUAUGGAGGAUCUACACGAGUGGAAAGCUGCUCUGGAAAACGCUCUAACACAAGCACCUAGUGCUUCCCAUGUUAUGGGUCAAAAUGGUAUUUUCAGGAAUGAUCAUGCAGAUCCUGCUGUUGGUGUUGAUGAAAAGAGUAUGUUUGCCACCUUUUCAAUGGUUUAGUGACUUUAGUCUUUACAUGUAUAACAAGAUAUGUCUUGAGUGUUGUGAGAAUGUCAAAGUUUCGUCUUCUCUAGAAAAUAAGCUACAUAAUAAUAUUAUCUUGUUAACAUAUGUUCCCUUCGUCUGGAGUAUAAGCUGACCAGUUAGUGUUGAAUGGCUCACAAGAAUAUGGGCAUUGCUUAUAUAGUCGGUGGCAUCUCAAGAUUUGUUUCUUUUUCAAUUCACUAGACAAUGAUGCAUUUUUUGAUAUUUUUACAGAAGAUGAGACACCAACAAAAUCAACUGUCCUUGGAAGACCAGUAUUACUUGCUCUAGAAGAUGUUGAUGGAGCUCCAUCUUUCUUGGAAAAGGCCCUUAGAUUUGUUGAAAAUCAUGGUAUUAGUUACAGGCUUUCAGCUUGUUUUGCUGCUUUGUUUUACUCACUCUGAGCUGAAAAAGACAACAAAAUCUUGCAGGAGUCAGGAUAGAAGGAAUUUUGAGACAAGCUGCUGAUGUUGAUGAUGUUGAACACCGGAUUCGCGAAUAUGAGAAAGGUUUGAGUUUUAAUGUAUAUGUAUAUGAUUACAUAUAUUUAUUCUUCUUUUCUUGAUUUCCUGCUUUGUGGAAAGUAUUAAUACGUAGUCACUUGGUUCAGGAAAAAAUGAGUUCAGUCCUGAGGAGGAUGCGCAUGUUAUUGCUGAUUGCCUUAAGGUACCUGCUGCUGUUAACUACAAUGCUGAGUUAGCCUUUCACUCUUAAAUCUCUCUAACUGUAUCCAUAAAUGCGCAGUAUUUUCUCAGAGAGUUGCCUUCCUCUCCAGUGCCUGCAUCUUGUUGCAACGCCCUUCUGGAAGCUUGCCGUAAGUUUAUCAUUCUCUUUCUGUUUCAUUUAUUGUGUGUGGGUGUCCCAUUGUGCUCCAUGAGAGUUAGAUACCAUAUUUUUCCAGUAAGCAUUUAUCUUUCUCGGGGUUUACUGUGAUCAUUAUAUUUUUUCCUCUUAAGGACAAUCAGAUAUCUCUAUUAUAAAAUUUGCUGAAAAUCUCUUUUUGGACAUAUCAGAUCCAUUUUGCUGUGUUUGUUUUUUUGUUGUUUUGUACAAUAACUAGACACUAGUCAGCAUUGAGAAAUCUAGAUGAUGAAAUUGAGGGAAAUUUAAGUCUCCAUUGGGUUCCUUUUCAAUAACAAAUUAUGAGUGGAAUGAAGCUUUAAACAAAUUUCUCUGUUUUUUCCUAACUUCUCUCUGGUUGUUUACUUUAUCGACAUCUGAAUAUAUUCAUAUAUGUUAUAAAUAUAAAUUUUGCGCGCCUCUUCUUCUUGCAACAUAUCGUUUUCCCAGUUUUCUGACGUGUAACUUUACCAGGUACUGACCGUGGCAAUAGGGUCAAUGCUAUGCGGGCAGCAAUCUGUGAAUCAUUCCCUGAACCAAAUCGUCGCCUAUUGCAAAGGUAGUCUCUUUUUUGUUUCCUCGUUUUACGAAAGUUAUUUAACAUGCAUAGGGAGUAAAUAACUUUUGUCAUUAACUCUGUUUAUUUUCCCUCUUGCAGAAUCCUGAUGAUGAUGCAGACUGUAGCCUCUAACAAAACAGUGAACCGGAUGAACACAAACGCCGUUGCAGCUUGUAUGGCACCUUUACUUCUUCGACCCCUUCUGGCUGGUGACUGUGAAAUUGAAAAUGAUUUUGAUGUCGGCGGUGAUGGUUCUAUGCAACUUCUGCAAGCAGCUGCUGCAGCGAAUCAUGCCCAGGCUAUAGUGAUAACAUUAUUAGAAGAAUAUGAAAGUAUAUUUGGAGUAAGAUUCUACUUCUCUCAUUUGAUUAAGAGCCUUCUUAGUCACAUCAUCAUAAUUGAUGAAGUGGUUACCUCUCUGCAUAGUAAUCCGCUCUUUAUUACAGUAGUAUAGUGACAACCUUGUAGGCAGUGUGAAAGGACGACUUCGGUUCUUAUUAUAGUUGUACCUGUGUGCUUAUUUUCAGACACUGACUUCUAGCUUCAUAAAUGGUCUAUGUCUGCAGGAAGGUUCCUUGUCACCCGGCUUAUACUCUGACUCAGAAGAGAGUGGUAGUGGGACAGAGGAGGGAUCUGAUGAUGAAGAGUAUGAUGAUGACGAAGAUGAUGGCACACAGGGAUCUGAUGACUACACAGAUGAGGAAGAGGACCUUGAAAAUGAAUCUAAUGGAUCAUACAGUGAGAGUGCCGCCUCAGAAGACAAAUAUGCAGACAGCAUUGAUCCUGACGACCAUAAGGCACGGUCCUAUACUAACCUUCAAUACUUAAUCCAUUUCUUGAAAAGAAAAUCUUAUGAUUACGAGAACUUUUGAUUAUAAUCGAGAAUUACAUAUUUGGAUCCUUGAAUUUCAUUCAAAGUUUACACUGAUGAUACAAGUUCCUUGGUCCUCAUUCGUUUUACUUGAUGACUGUGUUUAAAGAAUAUAGACAUUCCUUUUGCUCAUAUAAUUAUUUUCUGCAGAUAAAUGAUAAUUUAAGCCCUGAACCAAAAUCCCCAAAAGGAAGUAAGGAGCCUAAGAAGCUUUUAUCUGGCUCCAGACUAUCUUCUCUACCACGACAUGAUGACGGUAAAAAGGAUGAGGAUAUUGUGGUUAAGGGAGCUGAUAAUACAGAGGUAAAGGAUGUUGUAGAGGUCUCGACAACUGAGGAUAAAGAUUCGUCAACAUCAGAUGUGGCAUCUGACACUCAGAAACCGUCAAAGUUAUCCGAUGCACCGGGAGGAAGUAAAAGGCACUGGGGCCGUACCCCUGUAAGUAUAUUUUUCUUCUGCCUUUAUUACCCGAGGGAGCAGCUCUAUCUCUUAAGGGAUCCAGACAUUAAAUAAAAGUUUGGUGUUUUAUGUGCUCAGGGGAAGAAAAACCUGUCAAUGGAAUCUAUUGAUUUCUCAGCGGAAGUGGACGAGGACAAGUAAGUAUCAUCAUCUCUACAAUUGAUUUACAUCUUUAUGUUUCUUACAAAACUUCAAAUUUGUUUGGACUAGAACUAAUGUGGUGUCUACAUGGAACUUCAUCUGACAAUGUUAAUAUCCUGCAGUGCUGACAUUGAGCGACUUGAAUCAACCAAAUUAGAGCUGCAAAACAGAAUUACAGAAGAGGUAAGUGAUCAACCAAUAAGUCCUUUUGAGUAUUUUUGUUUUUGCGAACUCAGUGGUAAGUGAUCUCCAACAACCUCCAUGUUUGGUACAACAGGUUAAAAGCAAUGCAGUUCUACAGGCUAGUUUGGAGCGACGGAAGAAGGCUUUGUACGGGCGGCGCCAGGCUCUAGAGCAAGAUGUAAGUGUAAAAUAAAACCUAUCUUAGCUAUGUGAAUUUUUUUAUUAUUGAGUGUUGAGAUUUAGUAAUAUGAAUGUGCUUUUACCUUCCUCUAGGUGGGAAGACUACAAGAACAGUUGCAGCAAGAGAGAGAUAGGAAAUUAGCUCUGGAAACAGGACUGAACAUGUCAAAAGGGAAUCAACCUAUUCCAGAAACAAUCGAUGAAAAUGUUGCUCCUCUUCAUUUUUGACUAGUAACUAGUUGAUUUUUGUCCCUUUAAAAGUACAUAUAUCUAACUUGGAAGACAUGUUAACAGCUGAAGAAAGAUCUGCAAGACGUAGCUCAGGCGGAGGCUGAUAUUGCCAAUUUAGAACAUAAGGUUGAUGAUCUUGAAAAUAGGCUUGGUCAACAUGACGGAAAAGCCUCUGGUUCCACGCAUGGUGCCAGCAAAGACUCUCGGAAAAUGCCAGAGCACAGUGCAAAGAUGUACGGAUUCAUCAACAGAUUCACAUUUAACCUCACAACCUAUGUUUAAAAAAUAUCAAAGCUAAUUACUAGUCUUCUUUCAACUUUGUCACACAGGAAGGAGAAACAAAAAGAUACUGAAGCAGCCUCUACUCACAUUUCUGAAAGGUCAACGUCCAAGGUAACCACUGUAAACAUCUGAUAUAUGUCUAUCAAUUUUGUGUUUUCUUCCUCUGUAUUUAUCCUCUACAAACGGGUAACAUAUUGCAGGAUGGGCAAGGGGCUGCAAGAGAAAAUGAGACAGAGAAGCAACAUGAUUCACGGAGCAAAAGCUCGCAGCACGAAACAUCACGUGGCAGCUCAAAACUGGUGGGCAUGUCGAAGAGGUCUGGCACAAAGGGAGAGGUAAGUUUCCAUAUUGAAACCAUUAAAUUUCAUCCAAAUAUCGUUGAUAACUAGAAGCUGAGUGCAACAAACAGGGAAGCACGACAACAACUUCUGCGCUUUCCAAAUUGACAAUGCGACUCAACUUCCUAAAGGAGAGACGAAGUCAGAUCGCGAACGAGCUCCAAAACAUGGACAAAGGAAAAACAUUAGGGCAAUCCAGUCCAUCCUCGGGGCAAAACCGUGUAUCAGAGGAAACUGAAAAAGGAUCAGGGCCAAACCAGGAUUCAGACAGCAGCAAAUUACAGAGCCCUCACAUUCUUGACAGAGGAAGAUCCGAGAACGGAGGAGGAGACAGAGGCAGAGGAUCAUCUGGAGGAAGCCAUCCCAACACUACACCAAGGACCUUCUCGAGAUGAUGCUCUUUAUCAGCAACCCCUUCCCUCAGAUGUACAGCCGCCAUUUAACUCCACCUCCCAGUAAUGCUUAUUCUUCACCCCCAACAACCAAAUAACAGAUUCUUUCUUCUUUUUAGUCUCUGUCUUAUCUUGCUUCAGCUUUACCAAAUAAACUACACUUUUGUUUGUUGUGUUUUAACUGCGCGUUGGAUCUGUUGUUUUGGUAGUGACAUUUCAUAUCAGUAUAGAAACAAAAAUUGAAUAGUAGUAUUUAACAACAAUGCUUGAACAAAAACAUAUAUUGAAUCCCUCUUCCUUCUUGUGUUCACAAUUUCAAAAAUGAAUAAAUCAAUAUAAAUAGUCGUCGUCAUCAUCAUCAAUAAAAGAAUUGUAUCAAAAAUCUCGAAGCAGCUUCCUGACUUGCUCCAACGUAACGAAGAGAACAACAGUGAAAGGACCUUGCCUACAAACCGUAGGAACAAAGCCUUUAUAUAGAGCCAUUGCUCCUUCUGCUCUAACCGUCUUCGCCGCACAAUCCCACGCGCCGUCGUACGCUCCCACCUUCAUAUUCAUCACUCUCGUCUUUAUCACAUCCACCGGAUUAGACGCCACCGAAGCAACAAACCCAGCCGCGAAACUCGCAACCACGUGAGUCCCUAACCCAUCCUUCAUCACACCACUCUCCAAUAUCCCUUCCUUGAACUGAUCGUACGACGCAAGCUGAGCCGCCGUCACUAUCAUGGCUCGGUUAAUCGUCAACGCUGAGCCACGCCACAAGCUCGUUACGCCUUCUCCCUUAACCAUGCUCCUGAUUGCGUCUCCUACUCCGGCGUAGUUACGACGCUGCGCUAAAGGAAGCCUCCCGUCAGCUUGCAUUCUAACCAUCGCCACGUCAGCUGGAUUUCCAACGGCGGCUCCGAUUCCACCAGCGACUAGCCCUGCACCGAUCUUCCUACUCAGAUUCAGCUUCCCCGACUCAGGAUCAGUCCAUUUGUUCUUAAGCACUUCGUAUAGACCCAUCCUGGUAGUGGAAUAUAACGUCUGUCGGAGAAGUGUAGCGGAGACGCCGGAGAAUAAGGCGGCGGCGCCUUCCGAUUUGACGAUGUUGAUUCCGAGUGAGAUCGGGCCAACUUUGGGAACGGAAGAAGUUGUCUCGGCAAGAAAAGCUGCAGGAGAAGAAUUGGGGAAAGCGAGAGCUGGACGGAGGAGAGUGACGGUGGUGGUGGAAGGAGUUUCGCCGUGAAGCUGAAGACGAACCUUGAUGAGAUCGAGAGGGUGAGUGGAGCAACCGGCGAUUACAGAAGCAAUCCCACCUUCUACAAAACUUUUGACGCCCAUGGUUGUGAAAUUGGAAGGAAGAGGGAAUGAAAUUGAGUGAAGGAGAAGAAGAGGGAAACAAAGGUAUUUAUUUAUUUGUAGCGAGAGUAUGUAUUUUUGUGACGCGGUUUUGUCUGUGUUCAAUGUUGACGAACGAGUGAGAGAGAGUGUGUCUGAUUGAUUAUUAAAGUAAACCCUAAUUAAGUCAGACUCGCCGGUUAUAAAAAAACUAGUCAAAAGUAGGAAAACGUGUGCGUGACUUAGAGACAGCCCAUUGUUCUCUUUAUGGGCUUACGAGCGAGACGUGUUAAUUGGGCUUUUUCCAUUUAUGAAUUAACGUCGCCUGAGAGAUUCGAACUCUCGCGGGAAAAUCCCAUGUACUUAGCAGGCACACGCCUUAACCACUCGGCCAAAGCGACUUCUUGUUAUCAGUUUCAACCAAAUCAUUAAAAUUUCUAUUAUGAUUUCUCCUCAUAGUGUGUGGAUAUUGUGGAUCUAGUAAAAUUUCUUUGUUAUUAUUACGUUAGUUUAUUAUAACUUUCUUUUGUGAAUUAGUUUGAUAUAGGUAAGUAGAAUUUUUACUCUAUUAUUUAGUCAAAGAUUAUUGGUUUGAUAUAGUUUUUCCUUCGGUUAUUGAAAAAUUCAUUAGAUUAUAGAUUCCUUUACUUAUCAAAGAGUGAAGAGAGAGUUCGGAAAACAAAAAAAAAAUUCCACGAGGUGGACUCUUGGUUGAUCCAGUCUUUACGUUAGACAUGGACCCCUACAUUUGCCUUUCUCUAUGAACAUGGCGGGUAAAAUAUUCAUUCAACGGAACCAAUCCAAGUCUCUUCCCAAUAAUAUUCAAGUCAUCUUUUGGGACACUCAUGCAUACUACAGUCUAUCUACAAUCUUUCAUUUUUAUUUUUUAUUUUUUUCAAUCUUUCAUUUUCUUUCUAAGCUCAACUUAACAAAUGAUAGACUAGUUGUCAAAUACAUGAUUAUGUUUCGGAAACAUGUCAAUGUGCCGCAAAUACAAUCAUGUAUCAUAAUCUUGUACGUUGUUGUCUUAUAGAUAGAAUCAUAUGUCAUGAUCUUUAUAAUACAGUAUAACAUAUGGAAUCAUGUAGAUUUUUUUUUUUUAAUAUCAUGUAGAUUGCAAAAUACUUAUAUAUGUUUGUUAUAUGUGUGUAUCUCAUAUAUAUAUAUAUAUACCCAUUUUAUAGUAACUUCAAAAUUUAAACGAUGAUAUAUCAGAAUUCAGAAGAUGUCAAAAGUAUAUAUCAAUUUUUUUUUUAACAAAAAAUUGUAAACAAAAAUAAAAUUGAAGACAUGGCGUGACACGAAAAUGGCACUAAAUAAUACAUUUAUUACGUAGAUAGAAGUUCCCAUCAUAUACACACUGUAUUUUAAUUGACUAAUACAAACUUUUUAUCAUUUUGUCAACAGGCUAAUUCAUAUUUCCGUUGAACUAUAUAUUAUUACUAUUAUUUAAAAAGAAGGAAUUCCUGGUAAUAAAAAAAUGAAUUCGAAAUGACGUUAGAAAGAAAAGGUUCUCUGGUAAUGAAAAAGCAAAGCGUCUUGGUUUAGAAAAGUAAUAUCCUCCUCUCCUAUUUUCUUCCUCCUUGUACCGAAGAAUCUCUCCACUCUUGCCCUCUUUCGAAACCCUAAACCAGAAGCAGCACCAGAAUUUUUCAACUUUUUUCAGCGAACAAUAGAAAACCCAACUUGUGCUCUCGAGGGUUUUCUUUAUUCCUCUCAUCUUUGGAUUUUCGUGGGUCAUCAUUUUGGAAGCUUACCCACCAGCGAAAUUAUAACCGCGAAACGAUUUCUGGGUUCUCUCUCUGCAUGUGCUAAAUCGCCGGACUGAUCCUCACUGUCACCUCUGUUCCCGGCUAAUUCGCCGGUGAAAUCUAUGGUUGGUGGUCAGAUUUAUUUCCAAUUGUUUGUGCAUCUGGUGGAGGAUAAAUGCUCCUUGUUUUGGAUCUAGGGAUUUCUACUCUAGUCCUUGUGAUCUCUCUUGUUCUGCCUCUGAUCGGCCUCUUUGUUCGUCACAAAUGGAGGGUCGCUGCCCAAAGGAGGGAAGAGAUUAGGAGACUUCUUAUUCAUGCGUCUCAAGAGGCUGCUAGGGCUGAGCUAGAGGCCUCUGUUGAGUUCUCUUCUGUGGCCAUCUCUAAUAUCUUCCAUUGUCCUGUGUGCUAUUGUAUUGCCACGACUCGAUGCUCUCGCUGCAAAUCCGUUCGAUAUUGGUAUGCAAAAUUCUAUCACUGUCUCCAUGUCCAAACUAAGUUGUAUGAUCUUAUGAUUGCAUCUCCACUCUCUGCUGUGACGUGAUGAAUUGGAGUGAUUAGUAGGGAAAGAAUAUGAGGUAGCUCUGUAACUUUAGCAAUACUGGAUCAGAGAUUUAAGAAAAGUGACUUCUUUUUCUAUGUUAACAAAAUUAUGGGUAAUUAGUUAGCUUGGGAGGAAGUGUAGUAUUUGAUUCAUGGCUUAUCUGUGAGGAACUAUGUGCUGCUGAGGAAAUUAUUUCAAUUAGAUAGCUUAAGAAAUGUACUAUAAUGUCUGUCAAAUUUUCAACCUAUGUGAAAUUUCGUUCCCAACAUGUCUUAGUGAUAGUUGUUACAUUGGAACUUAAUUUGUUCUUUCUUUUUCCAGUUCCGGGAAAUGUCAAAUCAUUCACUGGCGGCAAGGUCACAAAGAUGAAUGUCGUCCUGCUUCCAUUGUAUAUGAUAGUGAAGAUGAGAAAAGUGAUUCUGAUUUGAGAUUCAGAGAAGAGAAUGAACGGAAUACUCUUGAGGAAACUUUACUGCUGGAUCCACAACCAGUUAUUAUACCAAUCGGGGAAACAAUAUUAUCUAAUCCUGCCAGAUCUCCUGAAGAUGGGAAUGGAGAUAUUGCAGAUAACAAAGAUGACCUUAUAGAUAAGGAAGAAGCUGUUUCUGUUGCUGAAACAUCUGGAUCCUCGUUUUCUGGCUUCUCCUCCUCCCCCCGUAAUGACUCUGGUGAUGAGAUUUCUCUUUGUGAGAGCUUUAGUUCAUCUGAAUCCGAGAGAUCAGAGUCCCUACUUGAUGCUCAUGUCUCUGUAGAGCCAGAAGACACCUGUUUCAGCACCAUCGAUGAUGCUCCAUCCAAACUGUUGUCUCCUAAAUUUGUGCACUUGGUUGAAUCUGUAGAUAACCUCGCUAAUCUGCCUAAAUUAAGUGUACAUAAGCCUGGGGGUGAUACUGGGCAGAACCAGAGCCAAUCAAGGAGCUUACACUCAUUAGUUACGGAUAGGCACCCAGUAUCCACUGACCCAUCUCCUCUAAAGUCAUCUGAUUUUUGGGGUACGGCUCUUGGAUCAGCAGAACGUGUAACUGAGUCUUGUGAUAAAUCUAAAUCUGGUAGACCUGGUAACUCCUCUCUGCAUUUCUCCUUUGGCUCCUCUAGAGACACCUCAGCUGCUAAAGUUUCUGAGCACAAAAGGAGCAUUUUAAAAGAAGCUCCUAGUGCUGCAUUAGGGACUGGUAAUAAUCUAAAAGAAAGAAAUGCUAAAAUAUUUGAUGAAGCUGAAAUUGCCUUACCAACUUCCUCUUCUACUGAUGCGCCGAGUCCUUUGGACACUUCUAAUUUGCCCCAUGUGACCCUUCAGAAGUUAAAGAGCGCCAGUAGUGAAAAUGGCUGUAUGUUGGCCCCUUUGAAGGUUGGGGAAGUCCAACUUUUGGCAUCCAAGGCCUCGAAUACCAAGGAGUGUGCUGAUCUUAUGAAACAUUCUCCUCUAGGUGCAAAAUCUGUAAGAGUUCUUGAUCAUCAGAAACAGAAUGGUGCUGCCGUUCACCGUAUAAGUUCUCUAAAUGGAAGAAGUGGUUUGAAGGCAUCAGUACUGAAAGUUGUAGACCAGUGGACUAGACCGAAGUCUGAAAAUGAGAUGGCAGGAAGACAUGGUCAUAAGGUAAUCACUGAGUUCUAGGAUGUUAUCAUCAUUAUGCAACACUGACUUCCUACAUUAACAAAGCAGCACAGCUAUUUUCUUAUCAAUCUUUUGGUGACAUGCAGGGGCUCUUUCCAUAUGAAGUCUUUGCUAAGCUGUAUACAAAUAAAAUUGAGUUCCAGCCUUGUGGCCUCAUCAACGUUGGCAAUAGGUAAUCCCAAUUCUUCUUUUUCUAGUCUUUUUUUAAUUCUGGAGAUUAUGCUUUCUGAAGAAAUGCAUGUUUUUUUAGCUGUUAUAAUCUUCAGCUUGUGGUGUAAAAAAUAUUAAUAAUGUUUAGCUCACACUCGCUGAUGCAAGAAUAUACUCUGUUUCUUGCAGCUGCUUUGCUAAUGUUGUCUUCCAAUGCCUGAUGUUCACUCCUCCUCUGACGACAUACUUCCUCCAGCAACUUCAUUCUAGAGCAUGUACGUCACUGGUUCUAAGUUUUUUUUCCUUUUUAUGUGAUAUAUGCUACUUAUUGGAAGGUUAUUUUUUAUUAUCAUCGUUAUAUCAAGCCUUUAAUAGGUCGUUUAACUAUAGGUACAAAAAAAGAACAGUGCUUCACCUGUGGAUUUGAGAAGCUGGUCUUGAAGGCAAAGGAAGGGAAGUCUCCACUGUCCCCUAAUGGCUUGCUAUCUCAGCUACAGAAUAUUGGAAUCUUUCUUGGGAAUGGCAAGGAAGAAGAUGCACAUGAAUUCCUUAGGUGAACUGACAUUUCUGAAAUCGAGCAAAACCUGAUGCAUAUCUAUAUUAUAACUGGAAGAUCUUCUAUUAAUUUCAUUUUCCUUACCAUUUUUUUUUUCUUGCAAUUUGCAGGUUUGUUGUCGAUACAAUGCAGUCUGUGUGCAUUAAGGCAUCUGAAUAUGAUAUGCCCAAGAGUAGCAAAUUAGAAGAUACAACUCUUAUUGGUUUGACAUUUGGGGGUUACCUCCGAUCAAAAGUAUCAUCACCUACUACAUUUCUACUUUACUCAUUUUUACAUUGUUUUGGAGGAAGUUGUAAUCCUAGUACUUAUGAUCUCUGCCAGAUUAAAUGCAUGAAAUGUCAAGUAAAAUCUGAGCUGCGUGAGAAAAUGAUGGAUCUAACGGUUGAGAUUGAUGGAGAUAUUAGCACCCUGGAUGAUGCUUUGCGUCGAUUUACAAGGACUGAGAUAUUGGAUGGAGACAAUAAAUACAGAUGUGGCAGGUUGGUCAGCAUUUCCUUUCCAUGUGUUGAACUUCGUGUGGUCCUUUGAUAUUUCCAAGUCUCUUUUCAUGGUUCUGGGGAUAGAGUUUCACAUUAGCUUUAUAUAUGGUUCUGAGGUGGGUAGGAUACUAAUUGUUUUAAAUUUCACGGGCAGCUGAAAUAGAGCUUGUGGCUAGCUGAAAUAGAGUUUAUGGCUAGCUGAAAUAGAGUUUAUGGCCAGCCAAAGUAUUCCCUAUCAUAAAUUUUAAUUACAAUACCUAGAUUCCACGACCAGCUGCAAUAAAGUUCCCCUCUAGCUUAUGAAGACAGAAUUAUUUUGUAGUACAAUCAUGGUCUUUCAUUUGCGUAGUUCUAACCAAUCACCUGUAACCUGUUCUGUAACUACAUUUGAUCUUAAGUGCGAGUUUACAUUUGAUGGUUGAUGGGUGCUUACUCAAUUUUUUUUUCCCUGUGAGCAGCUGUAAAUCCUAUGAGAGAGCCAAAAAGAAGCUGAAAAUUACAGAUCCUCCGAAUGUCCUUACCAUUGCACUAAAACGAUUCCAGGUAAUCUAUAUCUUCAAUGAUUACCCGGUUUGUUUCUGUUGAGUUCCAUCUGUGUUUUCUUGUUUUUCACAAUUUGCGAAACUUAAUUCUUAAAGGCAGGGAAAUUCGGGAAGCUCAAUAAGUUGAUCAGGUUUCCAGAAACUCUAGAUUUGGCUCCAUAUGUCAGCGGGGGAAGUGAAAAAUCACAUGACUACAAACUCUAUGGAGUUAUUGUUCACUUGGAUAUAAUGAAUGCAGCAUUUUCUGGCCACUAUGUCUGCUAUAUUAGAAAUCAAAAUAAGUGGUAUAAGGCUGAUGAUAGCACGGUAAGUUUCUCAUAUAUUAUCAUUGGAAAGUUGGUUGUGAAUUAGUUUCUAAGUAAGCUCUAUUUUUUGUUCCCUUUUUACUUGACUUUGUUAUUUGUUGAACUUUGGAAUUAAUUAGUAGUUUCUUACUUCUGUUACAGCAUUUUAGGUUUACAAUUUUAUGCUUCUUCUUUUUCAAUGAUGAGUUUCUUAGUUUGAAUGGAUAAGUAUUAGUAUAUAAUUUUGAAGAAAAUUUCAAUGUUUAAUUCCUCUGUUGUGCAUUGAUUAUUUGCAGGUAGUAACUUCGGAUGUUGAAAGGAUCAUGACAAAGGGAGCGUAUAUGUUGUUCUACGCAAGGUAAAUAAUAUCAUAAUGCAUCUCUGACACUCUAAGAUUGUGGAUUAUGCUAGAUCUGGUUACUAAUAGCACAUAUCGAAUGAAUUGCCUGCAGGUGCACUCCAAUGCCUCCAAAAUUAGCAGUAUGCACCAAAACUGAAGCAACCAACAAAAGAAGCAGAGUGCCAGUACCUAAGGCUAAAGAGAAAAGUACCAUAUCCAUGUCACGGUCUGUGUCUACUUCAAGUCCUGUUUUGUCUUCCAACACGCCCGGUGGUCGAUCAGGCAAUAUACAGUCAUUUUAUUCCAGUUUCCAGAGGCUGCAGAAAAUUUUAGAAGAUGACUCGGCGAGUGACAGUUCAUCUCUCUUUGACAGCAACUCAGAUGAAUGCUCUUGUAGCACAGACAGUACAAGCAUGGACGACUUUGCUGAUUUCAUUUUUGGAGAUCAUCAGGGACGGGCCCACGGACAGUCUGAGGCUCCCUCACCAACAUCAUCGUCUUCCUCGUCUUCUCCUCCCUUUACAAGGCAUUCGCCGCUCAGUCGUUCAUCUCUAGAAACUUACGGAACCUCAAGACAUCAGUUGCCCUUGGGAGGAGAAAGGUAAGGGAAACAACGAUGGUUUUUUGUCCACUGGCCCCAACUAAGUCAAAGUAGUAGAAGAAAGUAGAUUUGAUUACACGUAGAUGGAGUGGUUUUAUUAACAACCCGUAUUUAGGCUUGGUGAAAGUGGUUAAUGAGAGAAGUGGUGGUAUAUAGUAGUGUAUAGUGGGGAAGAGAGAUUUUGCCCAUGAAAUUGUAUCACGUAAUGGAACGGAAUUUACCUUUGUUAAUAAGUUGUUUUGACUUUUAUUAUAAUCAAUCAAUAAAGCUAAGCUAAAUAUUAUCUCAUCGUUGCACCUUUAUUUCUUUUGCAAUUUGCAGAACUUCUUGGAUUCAGUCCAGACCUUAGAAAUUCAAUGAAAAUUCCCAAUGGAUGCAAUAAAAGCAUAUAUGUUGAUACCAAAACAAGAAAGUAUCCAAAUAGAAGAGACAACAUUCAACACAGUACUGUGUAGCAAGUGUGCUCCGAACAUGUAAAGAGAAAGUACUUAGACAUACAAGUGAGGGACAACCAUUAUCUGAAAGCAGGUCAUAUCCUAGCCACAUAUGAAUUGGCCUGUGUAACGUAUCUCACCCAACGAUAUGGAUUAUAACUACUUGAUUUCUUUGCUAUCUGCAAGUAUUUGACCUGCAUCACCCAAUUCAUUAACGAUGAUUGAAGAGGACGGUUAAUGGUAAUACAAGAAUCGGUACAUUACUUACCUGAAGUUUAGAAACAUUGUACAUAGGUAUCGUGAACGUCAUGCUGACUGGCCCUGCUUCCUUUGUGAUAUUACCUAAAACGAAAUUUGAGAAUUUUCAGUGAUGCUUUAUUUUUCCCUGAGAGAACAAAGAUGAAAAACUUUUGUCUUAGAGGGUCACCAUGAAAUUCCUGUGAAAAUGUCAGCUUUGCACGCAGUGUAUGCUCACCCCCGCCAACAAUCUGGAACACCACAGUUAGCUCAUCAAAGCAAAAUCCAGUUCAAUAUACCUAAACUAACAAACCACGUGAGAGAUUCAACACUUGCCUUCUUUAAAUUCCAUUCAAGCAUUUUGCUGGAUUCCUUGAAAUCUGUCUUCUGUCCAGCCGCACCGGGUUCUAACUCAAAACUAGCCCUGUCACAACAAACAUAAUUCGUUGAAUCUAUCUCUUGUGUGAUUCAAAAUUUGGCUGGAAUUUAAGAAAUUACAUCAUUGUAGUAUCUUUGUCACGUAUCUCAGUAAUUCACUUGUACAAACAAAUCGAAAAGUUAUGAACCUGGAAGUAUAAUUUGGCAAUGGCAUCUGAACAGUAAUUGUGUUUGCGAUUAUGUCUGAAGGGAACUCAGCUCGUAUUUUAAUAAUCACUUCAGCCUAAAUUUCAGCAAGCAAAAAAUAUACGACUUAAGCACUGGGAUAAAAAUUUAUAGAGCAAUUAAGAAAUUUCUAUAGUUUUUCAUCUGACUCAGAAAAUGUGUACGCAUGAAAUUUCACCUUAAGGCGCCCGGCCUCUUCAAUCAAGGUAUUAACAUGAAAAGGAGGCUUGAACUCCUGGGUCAUACGGUAAUUCAUUACUGGAAAUUCACCAUCCGGUGGAACCUGAAAACAGAACGCAAGUUAGAGAGCAAAACAAUAUGCUACAAGAUGUUUUCUGUAGUAAAUUUCUUGAAGCUUACCAGGGACAAAGUUCUAUCUGAAUCAAAACUAUCCAGACGAACAGACUCAUGAAAGUUACAAUCAUCAAGUAUCACCCCUGAACCUGAAGAGCUCCUAUAAUCUGCAACAUUUCAAUUGUGAUGUUACCAAGGGUUAGACUGUAUUACUAGAUCAAUUCCCAGUUGAUAAUGAUGUGCCUCAAAGAGGCAGAAAAAUGCUACAGGAGUAGCUACAUAUAAUAAAGAAUCCGGUUAUGACUUAUAAGCGAAGCUUGCAAGUGGAAACAUGCAGCUUAGUUGACAUUUCAAGCAUUCUCAACGCCGAAUGUCACAGAAAUAGGCACCAAGAUUUCAAAGAGAGAGACAAGAUAGAAUAUGACGUUGAUUCCUUCCAAAUAUAAUAAAGUUGAUAUGAACCAAGAAAUACCAUAUACUGAUCUCCCUCCUCUUCCUAUGUUUAGGUCUUCAUUAAGAGCUAAACGGAUUUCUGGAUUACCAGAAAGAUAGCUCUUCAUUUGAAUGGUUCCAUCAAUCUCAGAAGUCAGUAUAUAGCCCUGUUCAGAAAUCAGAUAAGAUUAUGGAUAAUUUCCAUCAAGAAAAAAACAUUAAGAUGCAACUACAUAUAUUAGGACAUAAAACACAGCAUUGAUCUGCAGAAAUGGGUGGUUUAAUAUGGCAAGAAGAAAACAUGCCAAGACUUCUGUACUUUUGAUAUAAUAAACUAGAAAAAAGUAACUACUCACGCUUGAACUAAAAGUAACACUGAUUUUCUCGAUAAUGUCCACAAAAAUUUCCUCUCUUCUCCGACCCCCAGGAUCAUUAGCUACAACCGAUUUUGUAACUGCAGUUCCAGGCAUUCUUUUGUUUCCUUGCUGCAAAGCAUUAAUUCAAGGGGUCAGUCACAUAUACCAGGAGGAGGAAAAAUAAAAUCAAUCUUACUGUGAAAAUGGCAGCAGGAUCGAUGGGCUGAAGGCGGGCAGGAGCAACCACAAUUGGCUCAUUGAAUAUAUAGGAUUUCAAAACUUCGGUAGAUGUAGUUUGCACGUAACCAAAAUCCUAAUCAAAAGAGCACCGAGUCAUAUUUAAUAAAAAUAUCAAAAUAGGGAAACGAUACAAAAAUAGCUACUAUAUAGAAAUAUACUUGCUAAUAAUGAGAAAUAAAUCAAGACGAGACUUACAAUAACUUCGUCAAGCAACUCAUACACGAGCACAAAAUUUUUCCUGAAUGAAUCUUCAUUCAAAACACCAAGAUAAUCCUUAAUAACACGAGCAAUCCUUUGUAGAAGCUCCAAAACAAGAGACGGUGACACGUUAACUCUCGUAGUCGCAACAAAAUAUAGACCAACAACCUUGACAUGGAAGUAGUUCACGCCAUCGACAUUCUAUAAUCACACAAAAACAAGAGUUAGAUGAAACCAUUACAGCUCAGAACCAAACAGAAAGAAUAAUACCUACAAAGAUAGGUGGCGCCUCUGCAUUGCCAUCCUCCUUCCAGAACUUGACUUUACGGAAGAAAGUCUCUGUACUGCCUUUCGGUACCUCAGCCCGGUCUGCGGCAAUAAAACGUUACACGACUUGAAAUUUAUAGCGGAUCCAACCAAAUCGCAUAAGCUCAAUUCUUCUACUACAUUACAUACAGAGACUCUAAUGGGAUUUCUCCGGAAAAUCGAAAAACUACGAAUUCCAGAUAUCUAGUGAACAGCAGGAUUCCAGAAAAUUCAUCUUCCCCAACUAACUGAAUAGUUGUGUUAUAUUGUACAAUCUGAUUUGGAAAUUCAGCUCAACAGAAAUGUCAUCGGAUAUAAAAUGCUGAUAGAUCAAACAGAUCAAUGAGCUUAGAGCAGAUUUCAAUGGAAAAAUCUCACGAAACAGUGACAAUAAGUCUCGGCUCUGAAGAAAAAAAGCAAAACAGGAAGAAGCAGAGAGGAUCAGAUCGGAGAGAGAGAGAAAUGGAGCUUACAGUCACGGAAGACGAUGUUAUCUCCUCGCUGAGAUAAAACAAAGAAUUGGGAGAUCAUCAUCGUUCCUUAGCGGUGGAAUCCGACUGUUUCACCGCGAGUUUGGUUGAGUCUACUGAUCGCCGAUCGGUCUCGUAUUUGUGUGUGGUGAGGUGGUUCACGUUUUACCAAUUGCCGUCGUUAUCGUCAAGCUUCUUCAGGUUCUGUGUUUUUUGAGAAUCUAUUCUUGUUCUUCUAUGGGCCUAAUUUAGGACAUCAAUAUGGCCCAAAUCCUCUCGAUUUUUAUCUUGGAAUUUUUAGAGCUGCACAACAAUAAAUAUUCAAUGUUGUAUCAAAUAAUACAUAUCAAAUUUUAUAUCACUAGUGUUUUUUCUUUUAAGGUAUCUCUAGUAUUUUUAUAUGUAUGAUAUAAUAUAUUAUACUAUUUGGACAGAAAUUAUCUUAAUUUUCCUGGUGCUAAAAUUUUUAAACUAUUAUGAGUUUUAAGGAAAUAGAGAGUAGUGCUAUAGGAGAAAAAGAUCAUCGUUUAUGAGGAAGCAAAAUGUGAGUUGAUUUGCAGGGUACAUACAUAUAAUUUAUAUUUGGAAGUCAGAGAGGAGUAAAUCAAGGCUUUGAGGAUUAAGCAGACAACGAAGGCCUUGAAAGCAAAUUAGUAGUGAAGACUUUCGGGAUCGAGCAGUCGGGAGAUAUGCAGCCUAGAGGGCUGACAAGAUGACCAAGCAUUCCAAAUGAAAGGUUUAGGAGUUUUCUUUUUCUAGACUGAUCAAGUAAGAAACACAAGAUAUAUAGGUAAUGUUAACAAGGGUCAACAACAAUUAAGUCUAAGCUUUUUUUGAAAAUAUAUACUUCUUGAACACAAUUACAAUUAUUAGUACUUUAUUAGUGUCUAGUUUCACAUUUAUAUGACCUUGGGAAUCUCUCAGCUUGUCCCCUGUCUCUGUUAGUUGAACAUGAAUAUCCGUCGAAAUGUUGAGUAUCUUAAACACAUCUUAGACCAUCCGCAGUGGUGUAAGUGUGAGGGAGGGGUGUAAGAUUUUUUUUAUUAUUAUAAUUUAAAGUGAGAGAGAAAAGAGAGAGAAAGAAAGAGAGAGAUAGAGUGGCUUACACCCGAGUGUAAACUUACACCCGGGUGUGAAGAGAGAGACAACUUUUACAUUAUUUCUGUAUUUUAAAAUAGAUACACCCCACGCAAGGAUACAC